GGUGAGGAAGCCUACCAGACUUUCUCCCGUGUCAUUGAGAAUGCCAAUGUCAUUAUGGCAACAUAUGAAGAUAAGCUCCUUGGUGAUGUCCAAGUCUACCCGGAGAAGGGAACUGUUGCUUUCUCUGCUGGUCUGCACGGCUGGGCCUUUACCCUCACCAACUUUGCCAAGAUGUAUGCUUCGAAGUUUGGAGUUGAUGAAACUAAGAUGAUGGAGAGGCUCUGGGGUGAGAACUUCUUUGACCCAGCCACAAAGAAGUGGACCACCAAGAACACAGGCUCUGCUACCUGCAAGAGAGGAUUUGUUCAGUUCUGCUAUGAGCCAAUCAAGCAAAUCAUUAACACCUGCAUGAAUGACCAGAAGGAUAAGUUGUGGCCCAUGCUUCAAAAGCUUAAUGUUACCAUGAAGUCUGAUGAGAAGGAAUUGGUUGGCAAGGCUUUGAUGAAGCGUGUUAUGCAAACUUGGCUUCCAGCUAGUACUGCACUGCUUGAGAUGAUGAUAUUCCACCUUCCUUCCCCAUCAAAGGCACAAAAGUAUCGUGUGGAGAACUUGUACGAGGGACCCCUUGAUGAUAUCUAUGCUACUGCUAUCAGGAACUGUGAUCCGGAGGGUCCUCUUAUGCUGUAUGUUUCUAAGAUGAUUCCAGCAUCUGACAAGGGCAGGUUCUUCGCCUUUGGUCGUGUCUUCUCUGGGAAGGUUGCUACUGGUAUGAAGGUUAGGAUCAUGGGUCCCAACUAUGUCCCUGGCCAGAAGAAGGAUCUGUACGUCAAGAGUGUCCAGCGUACUGUUAUCUGGAUGGGAAAGAAACAAGAGUCUGUUGAGGAUGUUCCUUGUGGUAACACUGUUGCUAUGGUUGGUCUGGAUCAGUUCAUCACGAAGAAUGCUACACUCACCAAUGAGAAGGAGGUUGAUGCAUGCCCAAUCAGAGCAAUGAAGUUCUCUGUCUCCCCUGUUGUGCGCGUUGCUGUUCAGUGCAAGGUUGCCUCUGACCUACCCAAGCUCGUUGAAGGUUUGAAGCGUCUGGCAAAGUCUGAUCCUAUGGUCCUCUGUACAAUUGAAGAAUCUGGUGAGCAUAUUAUUGCUGGAGCUGGUGAGCUUCACCUUGAGAUUUGCCUGAAGGAUCUGCAGGAAGACUUCAUGGGUGGUGCUGAAAUUAUUGUUUCUCCUCCUGUUGUCUCUUUCCGUGAAACUGUUCUUGAGAAAUCCUGCCGAACAGUCAUGAGCAAGUCCCCCAACAAGCACAACCGUCUUUACAUGGAAGCCCGUCCCUUGGAAGAGGGUCUCCCUGAGGCUAUUGAUGAGGGCCGCAUUGGUCCACGUGAUGAUCCCAAGGUUCGCUCCAAGAUCCUCUCUGAGGAGUUUGGUUGGGACAAGGAUCUUGCCAAGAAGAUUUGGUGCUUUGGACCUGAGACCACUGGCCCGAACAUGGUUGUUGAUAUGUGUAAGGGAGUGCAGUACCUCAAUGAAAUCAAGGAUUCUGUUGUGGCUGGCUUCCAGUGGGCCUCAAAGGAGGGUGCACUGGCUGAGGAGAACAUGCGUGGCAUCUGCUUUGAGGUCUGUGAUGUUGUUCUUCAUGCUGAUGCAAUUCACAGGGGUGGUGGCCAGGUCAUUCCAACUGCCAGGAGGGUUAUUUAUGCUUCUCAGCUCACUGCCAAGCCAAGGCUGCUCGAGCCAGUUUACCUUGUGGAGAUCCAGGCCCCAGAAAAUGCACUUGGUGGUAUCUAUGGUGUUCUGAACCAGAAGAGAGGGCACGUGUUUGAGGAGAUGCAGAGGCCUGGUACCCCGCUCUACAACAUCAAGGCUUACCUCCCUGUCAUCGAGUCCUUUGGGUUCUCCAGCCAACUGAGGGCUGCAACCUCUGGCCAGGCGUUCCCUCAGUGUGUGUUUGACCACUGGGACAUGAUGGGCUCUGAUCCUCUGGAGGCCGGCUCCCAGGCUGCUCAGCUGGUGUUGGAUAUCCGCAAGAGGAAGGGUCUCAAGGAGCAGAUGACCCCUCUUUCUGAGUUUGAGGACAAGCUCUAAAUUUUGGUGGUUUGUGCUGCUGUUACCCAUGCUGGUUUCAUGGCCAAUUCGUCUACUGUAACUGGAACUACUUUCAUGUUUCAUUUCCUUUAGUUGUCAGAUGCAUCUGUUUUUGAACAUCAUUGGCCAUAUGGCAUUGUGCUGCUAAGACUGUAUUUUGUUAUCCGGUUGUGAUGUAACAGAUGAAAUAGAGUUCAUAUCUGUGGUUUAAGUGGUAGUAUUUGCGGUAUAAUGCUUGUUUCUACUGCCUUCUGAAAGCCUUUCUUUUGCCUAACGGUAGAGCGGAUUAACUAAGGGUGUUGUAUCAUUUGAUUCAUUUGAUCCUUCAUCAAGGAUGAAGCCAUCUCCUCAUGGGAACACAUUAUUCUACUAUUAGAAGCGAAGAUGUAACAAAUUAGUUGAAAGAGGAGCGUUGAAAGAGGAGCGAACCAUACUUUACUAUAUGGUAAGUAGCAAAUUAGUUACAAGUAGCAAAUUAGUUGAACUUUAGGAUCAUGCACGUUGAACCUUGUUAUCUAGGAUCAUCCAUGGAUCAUGCACGUUGAACCUUGCUAACUAGGAUCAUGCACGUUGACCCUUGUUAUCUAGGAUCAUCCAUGGAUCAUACACGUUGAACUUUGCUAUCUAGGAUUAUCCAUGUAUGCAUCAUGUAGUGCAUCUGUGCAUGCAAUAUUCUGUUAUCUAGGAUCAUCCAUGGAUCAUACACGUUGAACUUUGCUAUCUAGGAUUAUCCAUGUAUACAUCAUGUAGUGCAUCUGUGCAUGCAAUAUUCUGCCCUUAGCUUGGUUUUACUGCCGAUAGCUAUAUAGUGCAUUUAAAUGCUUUUCUUUUGCCCACAGCCCCAGAGGUAGAGAGGACUAACUGUUUCUGUUGCUUUUUUUUUUUACGGUCUACGGGAGAGAGUGUGUGUGUGUGUUGGGGGUGGGAGCGCCCCCACCUGAUUUUCAUUUCAUUGAGGGUCUGUUUCAGGCCAAACGCUGUGUAGAUCAAAAGGAGAUAGAGAGAGGCAGUGUACAUCUGGUUUUGUGAUUGUUUUACAUCGAAGCAAAGACAGUGCACCAGGAGUCGGUUAUCACGCGAUCCUCUAUGCGAAACCGCUCGCGCCAAAGUCGGGCUUCGUCUCGGCAUGCCGACCAGAAGCGUUGUUGAGAUGGAGCGCAGCGCUGGAACACUGGGUCAUUCCGGUGCUUCCAUAACACCCACGGCAGAAGGAGUUUUUUCUUGCUUUGCCUUUAGCUUGGCUUUAAUCCUGUUAGCUAUGCCUAUGUAGAGCAUUUGGUCCUUCGAAUUUUAAAUCGAUGUUGAUUUUGAUUGCAUGCCGUCAUUUUGGGUUGGUUCCAACUAUGUUUUUAAUAUCAGUCGUUCUGAAGGUUACUCUGUUGACACUUGAUUGCAUAACCGUUUGCUAGUUUUGCGUGCAUCCGCGUGCUGGUUCGUCUCAUCAAGAACUAGCCGUUGCUCAAAACUCUGGCUUUCAGGCAUGGCCGCAACAGCCUGGAGGAUGUGUUGCUGUUCUGUAGCUGUAGUGUGCGUCUGUGCUAGUGGAUGCAGGGAGCCAGCGACCUAAAAGGAAUCGUGUAUUAGUGGAUGCAGGACAUCGGCCGUGGCGGCCUGGGGGAGACGACCACGCUCGACAUGAACGGCAGUAAGUUCAAUGGCACGAUCCCGGCGUCGCUUACCGGCCUAUGGAGCCUCCAGUAUCUAGAUGUGAGCGGCAACCGCUUCACCGGCACCAUCCCAGCGUUGCUAUCUGGACUCCGGAACCUCCAGCUUCUCGGCCUGAAUGACAACCUCUUCACCGGCACCAUCCCGGCGGACCUCGGCGAGCUGGCGAGCCUUCACAUGCUGUAUCUGGCAAACAACCAGUUCGAUGCAGGCCAGCUGCCGUCGUCGUUCAAGAACCUGACCAACCUGGUCAGCCUCUGGGCGUCGCAGUGCAACCUCGUCGGAGAGUUCCCGAACUUUCUUUGGAGCCUGAAGGAGCUGCAACUAUUGAAUCUGUACACGAACAACCUCACCGGCAACUUGGUGGUUGAUGGCCUUGUUGCGAGGAACUUGACAGUAAUCGACGUCUCGGAGAACAAGAUCACUGGAGUUAUCCCGAGUGUUUGGGAGCUUGGAGAACCUCAGAGACUUGAACUUCUUCAUGAACAACUUCUCCAGCGAGAUACCAGCCAGCAUCGGCCGGUUGCCCUCACUGACGAGGUUGAGGCUCCACACCAACAUGCUUAACGGCACGCUCCCACCGGAGCUCGGAAAGCAAUCGCCGGGCUUGAAUUAUGUUGAGGUUGAUUACAAUGAGCUCACCGCCGAGAUCCCGGAAGGGCUGUGCACUGGAGACAACCUCCAGCACCUCACCGCCAAGAGCAACCAAUUGAACGGCUCCAUCCCAGCAGGCCUUGCCAACUGCGCCACUCUUGGAACCCUGUCGCUGGACAACAACCAACUCUCUGGCGACGUACCAGAGGCUCUGUGGACGGCGACGAAGCUUUACCAGAGGCUCUUCCGGCCACGGUGCAUCUCAACCUUUCGACGAUACUCAUAGGGAACAACCAAUUUGGUGGCAACAUUCCGGCUGCACUAGCUGCGCUCCAGGUGUUCACCGCCGAGAACAACCGGUUUUCUGGUGCGAUACCGGCGAGUCUUGGCGACGGCAUGCCGCUGCUGCAAAGACUGAACUUAUCCGGUAACCAACUGUCCGACGGGAUCCCCAGAAGCGUUGCUAAGCUAAGCCAGCUGACGGAAAUGGACCUGAGCAGGAAUCAGCUCACCGGAGGCAUACCGGUAGAGCUCGGCGCCAUGCCGGUGUUAAGUGUCCUUAACCUGUCGUCGAACAAGCUCUCCGGCAACGUGCCGCAGGCGCUUGCGAAGCCGACACUCACCGCCCUAACCUGUCCUCGAACCAUCAGACCGGCCAGGUCCCGGCCGGGUUCGCCACCGCGGUCUACGACACCAGCUUCCUCAACAACCCCGGCCUCUGCACCGCCGCUUGGGGACCUGGCUACCUCACGGGCGUACGCUCCUGCGCCGGUGGAUCACAAGACGGCGGUUCCUCCGGAGGCGUGUCGCACGCCCUGCGCAGGGGAACCUCGCCGUGGCGUUCGCCUUCUUCGUCGUCCGCGACAUCAAGAAACGGCGGCGCGUCGCGGAGCAAGACAACUGGAAGAUCACGCCUUUCGUCAAAGAUCUGGGAUUCGGUGAGGCACCCAUACUCCGGGGGCUGACGGAGGAGAACCUCGUCGGGCGCGGGGGAUCGGGGCGCGUGUACCGCGUCGCCUACACCAACCGGCUUAACGGCCGAGCCGGCGCGGUGGCCGUAAAGCAAAUACGGACCGCCGGGAAGCUCGACCAGAAGCUGGAACGCGAAUUCGCGUCAGAGGCUGGCAUCAUCGGCAACCUCCGGCACAACAACAUCGUCAAGCUCUUGUGUUGCCGCUCCAGCGCCGAGUCCAAGCUCCUCGUGUACGACUAUGGACAACGGCAUCCUGGACAGGUGGCUCCACGGCGACGCCCUCGUCGCCGGCGGGCGCCCCAUGGCGAGGGCGCGGUCCGCGCGGCGCGAGCCGCUGGACUGGCCGGCGAGGCUCAGGGUGGCCGUCGACGCCGCGCAGGGGCUGUGCUACAUGCACCACGAGUACGAGCCGCCCAUCGUCCACCGCGACGUCAAGACGAGCAACAUCCUGCUGGACUCGGAGUUCCGGGCCAAGAUCGCCGACUUCGGGCUGGCCACAGGAUGCUGCUGCAGGCCGGGGCGCCGGAAACGAUGUCCGCCGUCGCUGGCUCGUUCGGCUACAUGGCUCCUGGUAAGGAUUCGAACUUGCUGCUUUCAGUGAAUUUCUGUCCCAUUUCUACAAAUGCCACGUGUUCUCGUGUUGCCGGACCUUAGAUUGGGCCUUUUGAUGCUUAUCUGCAGAGUGUGCUUACACCAAGAAGGUGAACGAGAAGGUAGACAGCUUCGGUGUCAUUCUCCUGGAGCUCACCACCGGAAAGGAGGCCAACAACGGCGGCGAGCACGGCUGCCUGGCGGACUGGGCACGGCGCCACUACCAAUCAGGAGGGAGCAUCGCCGACGCCACAGACAAGAGCAUCAGAUACGACGGGUACUCUGACGAGAUCCAGGUUGUCUUCAGGCUCGGCGUGCUCUGCACCGCCGAUAUGCCGUCGUCGCGGCCAACCAUGAACGACGUGCUGCAGAUCUUGGUCAAGUGCAGCGAGCAGACGUACCACAAGGGCAAGACGGAGCGUGGCCCAGAGUAUGAGGUGGCUCUUCUACCCAAACGCGGCAGUCGCCGGAAACAGCUUUCAAACGGCUCGGGGAUUUACAUCGAAGAGAAGAUGACAGCAUUGUCUGAAGAAAGGAACUGACCACUGCAUAUGCCAGUAAGCAGCUUGUGACAUCGUCAGUGAACUGCUUGCUAUAGUGAUACUUCACAUUUUAGCAGAGUACAGCGGAGAAUUAUGCCUCUAAUCUUUUUUUUUCUGAGGAGCUAAGUAUCUUUAUAUUAAAAAGAGAAUAUAAAUAGAAAAAAUCAGUCCAUUGGAAGCAACCACUCUAGCUCACCUAGGAGAAUAGAGAGAUUGCAUAAACAAGCGAAGAAAAAACCGUCACCAGACCUUGACCCUGCACGGCUGGACUAGGGACAUGCAUAGUAUAGAGCAGGGCUUGUGGUUAGCCAAACCGUUCUGUGUAUUGAUACUGCAAAUCUGUAUUAAAUCACACACACAUUAUACGUUCCGACAGAAGAACUAGCAAACAUUACGAUUAUACUCCCUCCGUUCUUAAAUAUAUAACGCUAUUGACUUUUUCAUUUGUUUGACUAUUCAUCUUUUCUACAAAUAUUUUUGCAAAUAGAUAAAUCUACGAGUUAAAUCUAAAGUACAUUUCACAAUAGUCAUAAUGAUACACAUUUUACUUUAGUUAACUAACUCAUUCAAUAGAUAUUGAUGGUCAAAGUUGGAGUAAAAAGCCAACAGCAUCAUAUAUUUAAGAAUGGAGGGAGUAAUUUAUUUCUGAAAUAAAGGCAGGAGAUGGAGCUCUGCUUAUCCAUUCAGAAAUUAGUACGAUUGAAUGAUUUUGUCUCCUUCCAGUUUUUAUUGUAAAACACAGAAUAUUACACGGAUAGGCACUGAUUGUUAUCCGGAAGAAAAUGAAUUUUUAUAUUUCAAAAGAAAAGGCCCAAUUUGCACCCUCUAGCUAGCACGAUAAUCCAAUUUUCAGCUAAACUGACCAUGGGCCGGCCCAAAGGCACAGGAAUUUGGCCCGGUCUAGGCAUGGCGGCCGUCGUGCUCGUGCUAACCCGACCCACACCAUGGGCCGUGCUUGGGCCGUUGCCUCAGCCCACGUACUGGUCCGGCACGGCCUGCCCAUUUGGCCCGUCGGGAUUAAGUGGGCGGCCCAUCCUAUUAAGGCCCACUCGACCGCAUAUAAAACCCCCCACCCCCAAACGGCCAAACCCUACCUUCCUCUUCGUGUCCCGCGCCCUUCGCCGCCGUCACCUCCCCCGCGCCCUUCGCCGCCUCUCGCGCCCGCCGGCCGCUCACGCCCUCCGCCGCUUCCCCCCGCCGCCUCCCUCACGCCCUCCGCCGCAUCCUCCCACCGCCUCCCUCGUGCCCUCCGCCACCUCCCGCGCCCGCCGGCCUCUCGCUCCCCUGCCACCUCCCCCGCGGCCCUCUGCCGCCUCCUACACCCGCCGGUCCCUUGCCGCAAUUGGGGAAGAUGGUGGCCUGCACGGCGGCGCGCGCAAACGUCCUGUCGUCCCUCGGCGGUGGGAGCUGCGGCACGAGUGGGCGCCUGGGCAGAUCCGGGAAAGGUCUAUGGGCGCCCUGACGACGAGGUGGUCGAAGUCAUCGGGGCUAUCGAACUCGACGACGACAGGCGCUACGGGCGUAUGAGCAGAGGAAGGGUGAAUUCUGUGCCGCAGGCUGGCACGAGCACGGUGAGGCCGUUAAGGCCUGCCAGGCCAGCGUGCCAGCACGGCCCACCUAAGAAGGCUGCGGGUCAUGCCUGGACCGCUCCUUCGGCACAUGGGCCGGCACGGCCUGGCACUAUUACCGUGCAAGCCUAACCGUGCCGGGCCUAACCGUGCCAGGCCAAAUCGUGCUCGUGCCAGGCCGGGUUGGGCUACCUGUUUGGCCAUCUAUACAUCCAACGGUUGAAACCAGAUAAAUUUUAUCCUUUAGCUGGUUUCAAAGAUGUUUUUUUGUUUUAUUAGACAUUUAAAAAAAAUCUGAUUUAAUCUUGUUGGGGGGAAAUAUUAACGAUCCCCUAAAUACCACUUAAAGGAGCAGACGCGAAGGCCCGGGCCCACCUAAGCAUAAUCAAAACUCCGCCUCGCCCGACCGCGGCCUCAGGGUCAGGAACGCCCGACCCCCCUCCACGAGGUUUCCGCCUCGUCCGACUGCGGCCCCAGGGUCGAAGGCGCCCGAUCCCUCGCCACAAGGUUCCGCCUCGUCCGACCCCAAGCGCAGGGGUCGGGCUCGCUGGGGCCCCCAGGGCAGGCAUCCCCCUCGGAUGUGGACCAGGUGGGCAAGAUAAACAAAUCUUGCGGGUCCCCCCCCCCAUCGGCCUCGUCAUAAAUGCGCUGCGGGCCUGGCAGAGGGAGGAAUGACCACGCUCCUCACACAACCCGCCGCAAGUACCCAUGCACGACCAUACUGUACAAGCUACAGCGCUGGCGGCUCACUCCCAUUCGCCGCAGGGUACUCAUGGCCUGCGCCGACCGGAGCGGAGGAGAGACUCGCCUGUCCUCGAGCCCCGCGCACCCUCGGGUCCCGUGCGCCUGGCAUCUAGGAUGUGACGCCCUCUCUCCAGGAGCCAUCAUCAGAAUGGCAGCAUCCACCGUCCUCCCCAACGGACACCGGGAUAACGACGAAACGCCCUCAUCAUAACCCGACGCCUACGGAUGCCGAAGGAGCUAUCUGUAGGGUGCAACGACAGUUGGCGCACGGCCGCCUCCCCCUCCGGCAUGCACGCCGGCGCUCGCCAGGAGCCGGCGGAGGCGUCGGGCGUCUAGGAACUUGUUCCUCCCAUCCUGCCGUAUUUUUUACCGUACUACGUUCACAUUUUACGGUCCUCUUCGCCCGAUCCCAACUGUAACUCUGGCCACUCCCCUUGCGAUAUAAAAGGAGGAACACAGGGCCGGAGGGGGGGAUCGGCUUCUUCCCCCUCAAGCCACAGCAUGCUAGUACGCUCCCUGAGAACAUAGGCUCAAAGAGACUUGGGACCAGUCCCUCUCUCGUCGGUCUGUAACCCCUACUACAGAACCCCGCGUGGGCAAUACGAGCAUCCACGAUACUGGACGUAGGGCUCCCUUUGCUCGAACCAGUCUAAUCCGUGUCUCCCACGCCACCAUCUGAGGCCUUACGCGCAUAAAAGAAAUUUACUAGUCUAAGUCUUGAUCCGCCAAUCUUGACAACGACAGUUGGCGCGCUAGGUAGGGGACCUUUGCGCAUACCCUCCCAGCCUCAGAUGGCCAAUUACGAUAGUAGCUUUGCUCCGGGCUCCCUGAUCCGAUUCGGGAGCCUGGACUUCCUCGCCACCGGGGAAGGGAUCAAGCUGAUCCCUGUCCUCAUCCUGCCCGCUCGCCCGCCUGCCCCCGGCCCCGCCGCCGGGACAGCGGUGAGCGGCCGCUCGCAUACCGGAAGGACCUCGCCAGGGGGACGGCCCUUCGGGCUACGCAAUGCCACGGGGGCCUACGGACGCCUCCUAGCGCGGUCCAUGACCGCGUCGCCCGCGAGCAACGAGCUCGUAGGUGCGACAAGGACGAUCUCCGACACCGGCUCCAGCAGCGGGAGCCCCCACCCCUCGCGUGAGUGCCUCGUGGUCGACGAGCACUCUGAGGGAUCCAACAGCAACGAUGCCGAGGAGAGACAAAGGGCUGCCCCUCGCGCGCCGCGGCUAUGACCGGAGCCUUACCAAGGGCACCAGAGUGCUCUCAGCAACGAGAGGCGCGCGCGGGCGCCCGCCAAGAAGUCGAGCACCCCCACCACGAGGGAGGAGCGCGACAACGGGCGCGAGACGUCCAGCGACGCAUCUGCGCGGAUGAAGAGCGUCCGCAGCUUUUCGCCCGCGCCAGCCAAAACGUCGCAGCCGCGGCGGUGUUGCUCCGACAGCUCCCCGAACCAGCGAUGCCCGAGGAGCGACGGGCACGCCAAGAGAUGCGCGACCUGCUCGAAUGCGCCGCCGUCCAGCAGGCGGAAAGCUCCGCGUCCCGGCGACGCGGGCAGAAUGCCAGCAGGGCGACGCCCGACGCGCCCCCGGAAAGGCGGGGGGAAUCAGUCCAUCUACCCCCUCCUGGGGCGAAUCAGGCCGCGUCCGCCCGACGGACUCCACCACCCGCGGGAGGCGAGGCUCGAUCCGUCCACCAGCGCGUCGGCCUCGUCCGCGACGCCCGCGACACCCUAAACGCGCGGAGACGCUCCCGCGCGGACAGGGAGGACGGGGUAGAUCGAGGCUACCACGUCCACCGUGGCGGGCGCUACGACAGCGGGGAAGACCGCAGCCUGAGCCCCGGUCCGGCUGGGCCCCGGGCCUUCUGUGCGCGCAUCCUGAACGCGCCUUUUCCGCCGCGCUUCAGGCAACCCAUGAGUAUAGCCAAAUACUCAGGGGAGACGAAUCCUGGAGUGUGGCUCAGCGAUUACCGGCUUGCAUGUCAAGCCGGCGGGGCGGAUGAUGACCUGUUUAUCAUCCGCAACCUACCCCUCUUCCUAGCCGACUCAACGCGAGCUUGGCUAGAACAUAUCCCUUCGGGACGAGUUCGCAACUGGAAUGACCUGAAGGAGGUUUUCAUAGGGAACUUCCAGGGCACGUACACACGCCCCGACAAUUCCUGGGACCUCCGGAGCUGUCGUCAGGGGGCGGACGAGUCCCUCCGAGAUUAUAGCCGGCGCUUCUCCAGGAAGCGCACCGAGCUCUCCAACGUCGCGGACGCCGAUGUCAUAGGAGCUUUCCUAGCAGGAACCUCCUGCCGGCCCCUCGUCCACGAGCUGGGGUGCCGAGGCCCGCGAACCACGGAGGAGCUCCUCAAUAUCGCCACUAGUUACGCCUCGGGCGAAGAGGCCGUUGGAGCAAUCUUCGACCGCUCCAAAGGCAAGGCGAAACGGGAGGAGGUUGCUGGCGAAGGCACCUCCAACCGCCAGCAGAAGAAGAAGGGCAAGUUACGGCGCGAGGCCCCCCUCGUGGCCGCAGCUGAGCGCAAGCGAGGGCCGCCGCCCCCCGAGGGCGCUCCCGGCUUCUUCGACAAGUUGCUUGAGGGACCGUGCCCGAACCACGAGUUCCCCGUGAAGCACGCCUACAAAGACUGCAACCUCAUGAAGAGAUACUUCAUGGGCAAUUCGGUGAAAGGCGACCGGAAGCGGAAGCCCGAUGAGGAAAAGAAGGGCGACGAAGAGAAGGAAGACGGCUUCCCCAAGGUGGACGGCUGCUUCAUGAUCUUCGGGGGCUCUGCGGCAUACGACACCAAGCGCCAGUAGAAGCUGGAGCGCCGGGAGGUCUACGCGGCCGAGCCAGCGACUCCGGCCUUCCUGGACUGGUCAGGGCCGGCCAUCACCUUCGACAGGACCGACCACCCUGGACGCGUCCGGCACCCGGGGCGUUACCCUCUCGUCGUCGACCCCAUCGUCGGCACGACGCGCCUCACCAAGGUGCUCAUGGACGGAGGCAGCAGCCUCAACAUCCUCUACGCCGAGACCCUCGACGCUAUGGGGAUCGACCGUUCCCGCCUCCAUCCCAGCAAGGCGCAUUUCCAUGGCGUCGUGCCAGGGAAGCAGGCGAUGCCUCUCGGGCAAAUCGACCUGCGCGUUACGUUCGGGACCCCUUCCAACUACAGGAAGGAGGUCCUCACAUUCGAGGUGGUGGGGUUCCGCGGAACCUACCACGCCAUCUUGGGACGGCCUUGCUACGCAAAGUUCAUGGCUAUCCCCAACUACACCUACCUCAAGCUCAAGCUGCCGGGGCCCAACGGGGUCAUCACCGUCGGCACGACCUUUCAGAAGGCGUACGAGUGCGACGUAGAGUGCUGCGAGUACGCCGCGGCCAUCACCGUCACGAGCGAUUCGGCAGUCCAGCUUGCGGAGGCCACCGAGGACCGGCCCGACUCCAGGCAGCCGAACAUCUCCUUCGAGCCCGCUGAAGGUAUCAAGGAGGUCCCCCUUGAUCCCGGUUGUUCCAACGGAGGAGUCGUGCGGAUCAGCGCGGCCCUAUCCCCCAAAUAGGAAAGCGCGCUCGUUGACUUCCUCCGCGCGAACAGCGACGUCUUCGCGUGGAAGCCAUCGGACAUGCCAGGCAUUCCGAGGGAAGUCGCCGAGCACUCCUUGAACAUCAGGGCCGGUUCCAAGCCAGUAAAGCAAGGAUUGCGCCGUUUCGACGAGGAAAGGCGCAAGGCCAUCGGCGAAGAGCUCCAGAAGCUUCUGGCGGCCGGGUUCAUCAAGGAAGUGCACCACCCCGAGUGGCUAGCUAAUCCUGUCCUUGUACCAAAAAAGAAUGGGAAAUGGAGGAUGUGUGUCGAUUAUAACGGUCUCAACAAAGCGUGUCCAAAGGACCCGUUUCCUUUGCCACGCAUAGAUCAAAUAGUCGACUCAACUGCCGGGUGCGAGACCCUCAGCUUCCUCGACGCAUAUUCCGGCUACCAUCAGAUCGCGAUGAAAGAGGCCGACCAGCUCGCUACCUCCUUCAUCACCCCCUUCGGUCCCUACUGCUACGUUAAGAUGCCAUUCGGCCUCAAAAACGUGGGGGCUACCUUCCAGCGAUGCAUGCUGUAGUGCUUCGGAGACCUCAUUGGGCGGACCGUUGAGGCCUACGUUGACGACAUCGUCGUAAAAUCCCGGAGGGGCGACCAGCUCGUUCCCGUCCUUGAACUAGCCUUCGAGAGGCUGAGGGAUAAGCGUAUUAAGCUCAAUCCCAAGAAAUGUGUGUUCGGAGUCCCAAGGGGCAUGCUGUUAGGCUUCAUCGUCUCCGUGCGCGUCAUCGAAGCAAACCCGGAGAAGAUAGCGGCCAUUAGAGACAUGGGGCCGAUCCGGAACAUAAAGGGAGUUCAGCGCAUCAUGGGAUGCUUGGCAGCUCUAAGCCGCUUCAUCUCGCGCCUCGGCGAGCGAGGGCUUCCUUUCUAUCGGCUCCUGAAGAAGACUGACCGUUUCGAAUGGACCAGCGAGGCCCAGGAGGCACUUGACCGACUCAAGGACCUCCUGACGAAGGCCCCGAUCCUAGUCCCGCCUACCGACGGCGAGUCCCUCCUGCUCUACGUCGCGGCGACCACCCAGGUGGUUAGCGCGGCCUUGGUGGUGGAACGAGAAGAGGAAGGACACGCUCUCAAGGUGCAACGCCCGGUGUAUUUCAUCAGCGAAGUCUUGUCCGAGUCCAAGACACGUUACCCGCAGAUCCAGAAGCUCGUCUACGCCAUCCUUAUCACAAAGAGGAAGCUGCGCCACUACUUCACCUCCCACCCGGUAACAGUCAUUUCGUCAUUCCCGUUAGGCGAAGUAAUCCGGAACCCAAAUGCUACAGGGAGAAUCGCGAAGUGGGCGCUUGAGCUCAUGGACCAGGGUAUCACCUACGUCCCCCGCACCGCCAUCAAGUCCUAGGCACUCGCCGACUUCGUGGCAGAGUGGACGGAGAUUCAAACGCCAUCGGCGCCAGAGAAGCAGGAGUAUUGGACAAUGUACUUCGACGGGUCACUGAUGAGGGCCCGCGCCGGAGCGGGUCUCGUUUUCGUCUCUCCCUUGGGCAUGCGCAUCAGGUACAUGAUCCACCUUCAUUUUCCUGCAUCUAAUAAUGUCGCCGAGUACGAAGCCCUCCUCAACGGACUCCGCAUCGCCAUCGAGCUGGGCAUCCGUCGGCUGGACAUCCGGGGCGAUUCCCAGUUGGUCGUCGAACAAGUCAUGAAGGAGUGGAGCUGCCACGACCCCAAAAUGGCAGCCUACUGCAACGAGGUCCGUAAGCUCGAAGACAAAUUCGACGAGCUAGAGCUCAACCACGUCGCAAGGCGCUUCAACGAAGCCGCCGACGAGCUGGCGAAGGCGGCAUCCGAAUGAAUGCUCGUCCCCGACGGCGUCUUCGUUAGCGACCAGUUGAAGCCCUCAAUCCGUUACCCAGAACUGCAGGGGUCGGCGAAGCACCCCCGGCCCUGGGAUCGGGACCCGAGUCAGGGGAGGUCGGCAGCGCGCCACCUGUCCGAGACCCGAGCACCAGCCCCGAGGGGGUCGACAACGCUUUGCCCAACUCGGCCCCGGGAGCCGAUCCGUCCGACCCCGGGGUCAUGGAAAUCACGGCAGAUUCCGCGGCGGGUGCCGACCCCCCGAUCGAUUGGAGAGCCCCAUACAUCGACUACCUCGUCCGCGACACGCUCCCGGCAGACAAAACGGAGGCCCGUAGGAUCGCGCGCCGCGCCAAAUCCUUCGCCAUCAUCGACCAGGAGCUCUACAAGAAAAGCCACACUGGAAUCCUCCAGCGCUGCAUCUCGAUCGAACAGGGAAAGGCGCUGAUCAAGGAUAUCCACGCCGGAGCCUGUGGUCACCACGCCGCGCCAAGGACCCUCGUUGGUAACGCCUUCCGACAAGGUUUUUACUGGCCGACCGCGGUCGCGGACGCUACCCAGGUAGUCCGCACCUGUGAAGGAUGCCAGUUCUUUGCCCGCCAGACUCACCUGCCCGCGCAGGCGUUGCAGACCAUCCCCAUCACGUGGCCAUUUGCGGUUUGGGGGCUAGAUCUCGUCGGACCCUUCAAGAAGGCACCCGGGGGCUUCACCCAUCUGCUCGUCGCCAUCGACAAGUUCUCCAAAUGGAUCGAGGCAAGACCGGUGGCGCAAAUCAGGUCCGAGCAGGUGGUCCAGUUCUUCACCGACAUCAUCCACCGCUUCGGGAUCCCGAAUUCCAUCAUCACCGACAACGGCACACAGUUCACUGGGAAGAGAUUCCUCCAGUUCUGCGACGACCACCACAUCCGAGUGGAUUGGGCGGCCGUGGCACACCCCCGCACGAACGGGAAAGUCGAGCGAGCCAAUGGCAUGAUACUCCAGGGUCUCAAGCCAUGGAUCUUCGACCGCCUUAAAAAAUUCGACGGACGGUGGGUUGCGGAGCUUCCCGCAGUCCUUUGGAGCCUGAGGACGACCCCCAGCCGGGCGACGGGCUUCACCCCGUUCUUCAUGAUCUACGGGUCAGAGGCCAUUUUGCCCACCGAUCUAGAGUACAGAUCGCCAAGGGUCAAGGCAUACGACGAACAGGGAAACCAGGCAUCAUUCGAGGACGCGCAAGAUCAACUCGAUGAAGCGCGAGACGUAGCUCUACUGCACUCGGCUAAGUACCAGCAGGCCCUACGGCGUUACCACAGCCGCAAGGUGCAAGGCUGAGCCUUCAACGUCGACGACUUGGUGCUCCGCCUCGUCCAAGACAACAGGGGUCGGCACAAGUUGACUCCCCCAUGGGAAGGCCCGUUCAUCGUCGUACAAGUUCUACGGCUGGGCACCUACAAGCUGGCAACUCCCGACGGGCAGGUUUUCAGCAACGCCUGGAACAUAGAACAGCUAAGGUGCUUUUACCCAUAGCUUUUAUUUCCAAGCCCUGCAUAAAACUUGUCUUCAAUUCCGAUAUUUCCUUUAAGCUCAGGGGUAUCCGACCCUGGCCUCGUUCCAGGGCCGCAUACCCCUCGGGGGCUACCAGUUUUGCUCCUCUGCGAAAAAAAAGAAACCCCGAGCCGUCUCGGUUCAGGCCUUUUCCUUUAAGCUCAGGGGUAUCCGACCCUAGCCUCGCUCCAGGAUCGCAUACCCCUCGGGGGCUAUCAGAGGUUCCGACCCCAGCCGCUCGGCCCUAUCUAAAAGAAACAUUUUUUCUUUUCAAACCGAACACUCCCUUUCUAGACCUUUGGGCGCAAAAAAGAGAAGGAUGCGCGAACGGUGCUCAGGCAAGUUUGAUCGGACUGCGAAAAAACCUACGCCCCAGCGGCUACGGCACCUUCGCUCAUCAAAACUUAAUGACGCACCCGACAACGCAUUCUAAACUUUCAAGCCCAAAGGAACAGCAAAGGGGAUCGGGAUCUUUCGCACAACGAAGUCAUAAACAAGCCUGUAUGGCCAUCACAAAAUAAGUUCGAAACUAACAUAAUUACAUUUUGGGCACAAGCCCGGUACAGUUAACUUGACGAGGGGUCGGCAGGAGGGAUGACCUCAUCUUCCAGGAGCUUCGCGAGGGCCUCCGCCGGCGCGGACACCGCUGCAUCAAUCCCGUCCAGCUCAGCUUCGGUGUAAUCAGCGGCGUACCCUUCACUCAUCCCGGCAAAGUUGAUGCCAGAAUAAUGGGAGCCGAAGACCCCGAAGGCUCGCCGCAUGCCGACGUGAAGCGCGUCCAUGGCGAUCUCGCGACGUCGACGGCGUACCCCAAGGACACGAGCCGGCAGAGAGCUCGACCCCUCCUCCGGAACUACGCCAAAGUCGUCACAGACGACGCGGACCGCAUCCCGCAAGGCGCCGUGCUCGCCGUGCUCCGCGUCGAGCAAACCCUUCAGCUUGGCGAUUUCGCCUGCAGGAACCACCCAGAAAAGCCCACCAAGUCAAGAACAGAACACAAAAUGUCACGGGAACGCGGGAACGGAAAAAAAAAGCCUCACCGUCGGCCCAGGCCUUCAACUCGCGCUCCCGGUCGGCUCCUUGAGACACGGCGGACUGGAGUCCCUGCACUUGCGAGCGAAGGCGACCAGUCUCCGCGCUAAGGGCUUCACGCUCCCCCCUCAGCUGUGCAAGCUCCCCGGCAUCACGACGGGCCCUCUCAGCGGCAGCUUGAAGCUCCUCGGCGUCGCGGCGGACCCUCUCAGCGACAGCUUGGAACUCCUCGUGGUCGAGGCGGGCUUUCUCGAUGACGGCUUGGAGCUUGGCCUCCGAUCACCGCGCCUCCUCCAACGCCGCCCCCUCACGCCUUUGCAGGUCCCGAAUGACCCCCUGGGCGGCAGUGACUUGCAGGGACAGGUCCCUGGUGCGCUCCCUCUCCGCGUUGAAGCGCUCCCAGAGACCCUGCUGCAGCCGAAGGAAAUCAGAUUUCCCCCGACUGCCCUCUUGGAGGGCCUGCAAAGCAACGUGCCAUUAGAAAAAAAAAAGCAAAAGGGAGGUGCUGAUCACCAACAGUAGGAGCAACAUACCUGGCUGCCAGGGAGGACGGUGUUACCCAGAACCCCCAACGCCGAAGACAGAGCCGCCUCAACGUGGGCAAGGCCGCCCUGCAUCGCCUGCCACUUGUGCCACUCAGUGGCGUCGUCCAGCGUGAAGAGAUGCCUCGGCGGGUCAUCGCGGGAUGACCAGCGAAGGACAGACCCCCUCCACGCCCUGGGAACGGAGGGAGCCGAGGCCGAGGCAGGGGCCGAUCCUGACGCUGCCGUCAAGGUCGGCACCAUUGCACUAGAAGCCGCCGAGUUUACUGACGGCCCCGGCACCUGCACGCUCGUCGCCGCCGAGGCCGCCGGCGGUAUCCCAGUGGGCCCCUCCGCCUCCGCCGCCGGAGCCACUCCCGCGGGGGUAAUUGGGGCGGAGGCCCCCGCCUCCGUCACCGUUGCCUCCGCCGCCGCGCUUUCGGGGGCAGGCGUUCCCUCCGCCACCGAUCCCGCCGCGGCUGCGGGGGCAUCCGCCCUACCUCCCGUCGCCGCCGUCUCCUCUGCCUCGUCGGCGUCGAAGUCGAUCACCUUCCCGGCCUGAGAACCCGGGGGGAUCGUGCCCUGCGCUGUAGGGGCGACUGGGGGGACCGAAGGCGGAGUAGGGUCCGCUCCCCCUCCCACGGCUGACACCGCCGUCGCUCCGCCGGCCGCCACCACAGGGGCCGCCUCCGCGGAGGGGUCCGCGGCCUCACCAGGGACCCCGCCGCUCGCCGCGGGCGGGACCGCGGUCCGCCCCCCAGAGGAGGUUGACAACCGCAACGCCUUCUUAGGCACCAGCUGCAGGGCAAGGCCACGAGGGGCGGCGCUGCAUAUCGACAAACAGACGUCAGCACAAACGAGCGUGAGAAGAGGAGAGGAACGAGGCGCAAGGAAGGCCAACUUACGUCCUUGAAGCACAAGGGCGGCGCGCGCGCUUCGACUCAGAGCCCGACGCCGACCCCGGGGCAUCUGGCAGCGGCCGCUUGUCGCCACUUCGCUGCUCUCCAGUCGCGGGCACGGCGGUGGAGGCAGUCUCUGCAGAUCUCCGAGGAGCACCCUGAGCGGACUCCUGGGGAGCGCCCCGCGCCGGCUCUGAAGUGGCGGCGGGGGCAGGCUCCGAGGACCCCCGAGGGGCGCUCCGCGCCAGCUUUGGGAAGGAGCCCCGUGUCGACCCCUGGGGGGCACCCUUCACCGACCCCUGGGGAGCGUCCCGCGCCCGCUCCUGGGAGGCACCCCGCGCCGGCCCCUGGGGGGCGUUCCGCGUCGACUCCUGGGGGGCGUCUCGUGCCGGCUCCGAAGCGGCGGCGGGGGCAGGCUCCGAAGACCCCCGAGGGGCGCUCCGUAUCGACCCCUGGGGGGCACCCCUUGCCGACCCCUGGGGAGCGUCCCGCGCUCGCUCUUGGGACACGCCCCGCGUCGGCCCCUGGGGGGCGUCCCGCGUCGUCUCCUGGGGACACGCUGUACUGGCCCCUGGGGCGCAGCCCCAGGGCCUGGUGGAGCCGAAGCCCGGGCGGGCGCCUCCUCCACUUCACCUCCCGCGGCCGUCCGCGGGGGUGCCUCACGAAUGGCGAGGGCGCCCGAUCGGAAGGAGGAAAUCAGCUCCUCCUCAUCAUCAUCUUCCUCAUCUUCAUCCUCUUCAUCAUCGUCGUCAUCAUCGUCGUCGUCGUCAUCGAACACGACCGACCCCCUCCGCCGCCGUUGGAACUCCUUAGCGGCCUUCUUCCUCUUCUUCGCCAUCUCGAUGUCCUUCCGGCGCUUCUGCGCCUCGGCGAGGAGACGGUUGUGCGUCCGCCGCUCAACAUCUUCCGGCACCGGCGGGAGCGAGUGCGCGACCCGGGUUAGCGGACCCUACAAACGCAAAGCAGCUCCACGUCAGAGUGACAAUCGCAAGACACGAAGAAAGGAGGAGGACGCCCCAACUCCUUACCAGAUCUAUGAGCCCGCAUCCGGGCGCAUCGGCGGGUGCCCGGGAAUCGGGUACUCGACGUCCUUGUCCUCCAGCGCCUCCCGAAUCCGUUGCCGGAUCUCGGAAGCGACGAGCGCACCCGUCGCCAAGGCGGUGCCCUCGGUCGGCGCGUCGGGGGUCAUGGCGGCAAGCGGUCGGAUUCAGAGCAUCAGUGGCGCCACCCGUCGGGUGUGGUACGCUCCGAUGACCCCGGCGCCGGUGAGCCCGUCCCGCUUCAGCCGCUCGAUGGCCUGCAGCAGGUCGAAGAACCGCUUCUUGUCCUUCUCCACUGGCCCGUACGCCCACACCUCCGGCGCCGCGUCGAUGGUACGGCCGGUGAAAGCCGGCAGGGGGGAGUUCGGGUAGUUCUUCACAUAGAACCACUGGUUGUGCCACCCCUUGUGGGACGCCGAGGUCUUCAUCGUCAUGUUCUCCUUGGAGCGGGUAUGACGAAGGUGGAUCCCGGCGCACCCGAUCGGCACCGGAGGUGACCGCUGCUGGCUCCCUCGCUUCUCCGUCUUCUGGUACAGGCUCACUGUGAAAAAGUAUUUCCACAGCGAGAAGUGGGGCUCAAUGCCUAGGAAUCCCUCGCACAGGGCGACGAACGCCGCAAUGUGCUGGAUCCCAUUGGGUUUGAGGUGCUGGAGCUCGAGCCCAUAGUAGUGGAGGAGCCCCCGAAAGAAGCGGCUCGAGGGAGAGGCGAACCCCCGCUCAUGGAAGUGAGCGAAGGAGACGAUGUAGCCAGAGAGAGGCUCCGGCACCUGCUCCGGGCCCGACAGCAACCACUCAGCCGCCUCCGUCUUCUCGCAGAGGAGGCCUUUUCGCACCAGGCCCUCGGCGCGCGAGGAGGUGAAAUGGGAGAUCCCCCAGGAACCCAUCGCCGGAGGAGGGAGAUCAACGGAGGUGAGAAGAAAGGGCACGGCUUGGAGCAAAGGAAACGAAGCGGGCACGGACAAACUGAACGCUAGGCUGGAGGGCGGAAAGGCUCGAAUGCAGAAGGCGGGCGGAACCGGCGCGGCGGGCUCCCGUUUUUAUAGGAAAGGUACGGGAGAAGCCAAAUCGACGCCCCGGCCGCCAUAAAUGCGGCGCCAGGUACGCCCCUGCCACGCCCGUUUCCUUUUCGAAAACCGCGCGCACGGCCGGCCGCGAAAACAUCCUAUCCUCCUCGAUUCGCGGGAUGGCGCUUCCCAUAACUCCACCUCCCGGAAGGCACGACGUCCCCCACGUUCGGCCCAGACGUCACGACCGCUCCGUUCUGGCCCAAGGCCCACCGAAAGGUAAGAAAGGGAUACGGGGCUGAAAACGCCCCUACGGCCCAUUACGGUCCAGAGGUUCGAAGGCUGGCCCACCGCGGGAUCGACAGCUGCCUCAGGAUAUCUCCCGAGCAAGGGGUGAGAAGGGACGGGUCCACUAGCGGCCAACACCCAGGCAAGCGAAAGCCAAGGGCGUCCCGACCUCACGUUCGAGUCCCGUCCGGUAUAAAGUUCAUGGUUUUUCCACGGGGAAAGGCAACGAGCCCCCGGAUUCGGCCGAACGGACCCGGGAACUAUAUGAACUGGCCGGCGGGAAAUUGUAGUACGCCACCAGCUUGGCCCGAGCCGGACCCCCCCGAACGGGGACCGGGACUCCACUCGAACCUACCUGUUCGCAGCUCAAAGCGAGCACCACGGUUCGUCCAACUAGGAUAACGUGGCACGGCUCAACCCCUCCGUCCUAGCGAACGGACGCUUGAGGGGCAACGACCAAAAGUCGACCUGGCCUCCCGACCGGUCUCCCGCAACGAGCAGGGGCUCGGGGGCUAGCAUCGCAACCAACGACCAUGCGUAUGGUCACGAUUCCCAGGCUCCCCGGCCAAACCGGGAUGAAGCAAGCGCACCAUAAACAAAAUCCACGGAGAAACGGCGAAAGAAGCCUCCGGAGGAGCACUUUUUGCUCCACCACAGGCUCGGGGGCUACUGUUGGGGGGAAAUAUUAACGAUCCCCUAAAUACCGCUUAAAGGAGCAGACGCGAAGGCCCGGGCCCACCUAAGCAUAAUCAAAACUCCGCCUCGCCCGACCGCGGCCUCAGGGUCAGGAACGCCCGACUCCCCUCCACGAGGUUUCCGCCUCGUCCGACUACGGCCCCAGGGUCGGAGGCGCCCGACCCCUCGCCACAAGGUUCCGCCUCGUCCGACCCCAAGCGCAAGGGUCGGGCUCGCUGGGGCCCCCAGGGCAGGCAUCCCCCUCGGAUGCGGACCAGGUGGGCAAGGUAAACAAAUGCUGCGGGUCCCUCCCCCGUCGGGCUCAUCAUAAAUGCGCCGCAGGCCUGGCAGAGGGAGGAAUGACCGUGCUCCUCACACAACCCGCCGCAAGUACCCAUGCACGACCAUACUCUACAAGCUACAGCGCUGGCGGCUCACUCCCAUUCGCCGCAGGGUACUCAUGGCCUGCGCCGACCGGAGCGGAGGAGAGACUCGCCUGUCCUCGGGCCCCGCGCACCCUCGGGUCCCGUGCGCCUGGCAGCUAGGAUGUGACGCCCUCUCUCCAGGAGCCAUCAUCAGAACGGCAGCAUCCACCGUCCUCCCCAACGGACACCGGGAUAACGACGAAACGCCCUCAUCAUAACCCGACGCCGACGGAUGCCGAAGGAGCUAUCUGUAGGGUGCGACGACAGUUGGCGCACGGCCGCCUCCCCCUCCGGCAUGCACGCCGGCGCUCGCCAGGAGCCGGCGGAGGCGUCGGGCGUCUAGGAACUUGUUCCUCCCAUCCUGCCGUAUUUUUUACCGUACUACGUUCACAUUUUACGGUCCUCUUCGCCCGAUCCCAACUGUAACUCUGGCCACUCCCCUUGCGAUAUAAAAGGAGGAAGACAGGGCCGGAGGGGGGAUCGGCUUCUUCCCCCUCAAGCCACAGCACGCUAGUACGCUCCCUGAGAACAUAGGCACAAAGAGACUUGGGACCAGUCCCUCUCUCGUCGGUCUGUAACCCCUACUACAGAACUCCGCGUGGGUAAUACGAGCAUUCACGAUACUGGACGUAGGGCUCCCUUUGCCCGAACCAGUCUAAUUCGUGUCUCCCACGCCACCAUCUGAGGCCUUACGCGCAUAAAAGAAAUUUACUAGUCUAAGUCUUGAUCCGCCAAUCUUGACAACGACAAAUCUAAAAAUCCAUAACUAAUUAAUUUUAAAUCAUAAAAGUUUGAAACUAUUACCCAUCAUCUUUUUCUAGAAUGUUACCUUUUAUGUUGGUUUUUUUGAGUUAUUUGCAUAUUAUUGUCCCCAUCUCUAGUGUUUUAUUGCUUGUAGUCAAACCUACUAUUUAUUUAUUGUUGUUUUGCAUUGUAUGAUUAUUGGAUGCUAUGCGAUACAAAGAUAAUUGUUCAACAACCAUAUGCAUCAUGAAGAAAUUUCCGGAUACGAUUGAUAUUAGUACAUUAUUAACUUCUUAUCAAGAAAUAUCAAUGAAGUGUUUUAUAUGAAUAUUUUUAAUGCACCUUGAGUUUUUGGAUAACCUUUUUCAUAAAAGUUAAUUAGAUGCAUUCUUAACUAAAUAAGCCAUUUGGUAAUUUUUCAAAAAUGUUUAUUUAGGUAACAGAAAAUUUAUUUAUUUAUUCUGGAAAAAGUUUUUUUUUAACGAAGUUAGCAAGGAAAGCACCUACCUAUUCUUUAAUUGUUAUUUUAGAUCCGUUUAAUUCGCUCCCACGAGAAGUUGAAUAUAGACCUGCAGGAUGUUACUCAGGUGCUCUAACCACUAGACUAGAGUCCCUUUCGCUUCUGAAAAAGGUUUUACAAAAAUCUUUUCCCUAUUAUCUUUUGUUAAGUCUGGGAUGUUGCCGCACGUGGGAAAGAAAGAACGGGAAACAUAGACCGAGACCGCUGCUGCGCCGCCACCAUGCUUCGCCGUUGGAGGGUUAGGGUUCGGGGUUUCGGGUUAUGGGUCAUCGAUGGCGCGGCUAUCUCCGAUGUGGCUGGGAUAUAUGGGAGGUUGACGGUGGCUAGGUAGCAGGCGGUGGUGGCGGGUUGUGUGCGGGAUGGCGGGACACCACCAGUUCCGAUUUGUGGAAGACAAUAGGUGGCCUCUAGAGGCAGCGGGGGAAUCUUGGUGAGCUUCCCGCGCGGGGCUGGGUUAGGGCGGCGAAGGAUGGUGGCGGUGGAUGUGGCAGCGCGAGCCGCCGGAGAUGAUGGAGGAUGGCGGCGCGGGCGCGAGCAAAGGAGGACAGUGCGAUGGUGAUCGAGGGUUGCGACCGGCGACGCCGGAUGCAGUGGCGAGAGCCGUCGGAGCUAGAGGAGGAGGGCAGCGCGGGGGCAUGGGCGUGCGCGCUCCUGGGCUGCCAUCACUGAAGGUGACAUUGGUGAUUUUUGUCACCUUCUGUGAUAUAUAGAUAUAGACAUGCUCUAGAUAGAGGACUCCUUGGAGAGACCCCGAGAAUGGAGAUGGGCAUUUGGAGCUCUUCCAAAAUAAGGAAUCUAGAGGACUUGCUAGAAUGCAUUUUUUUUGACUUGGUCCAUUGGAGUUGUUCUAAGCCAACAACUAUUAGCAUCCUUUUAGAUAACUCUGUUAAUCUGAAAUACAACAGUUUCCUACUUUAUGUAUAAUGAGUGUCAUUGCGUCACUACGUACGAGGUCUACUUUAUGGCGGAUCUGAAGGUGUGUUUGGUUGGGAUGUGGCUUUUGGAAAAGCUACUGUGAGCUGUGGGCUGUGAAAAAGUAGCGGGGAGAAAGCAGCUGUGGGAAAAGCAGAAGACCGUUUGGUUAGAGCAGCUACGAAACUGUAGGUUGUGUAAGAAAUACCUGUAAUGCCCCUAAAGGUCUGCGGGUGUGUUUACAUGCAAAUUGCUCAUAACAAAAUAAUGUGUUCACUAAUUCACAUGUAAAUGACUAUUUUAGAAAGGAAAAAAAAUAAAUUUUAUAUGUUCUUCAUCCAUAUAAGUGAUUGGUCCACAUAAAUAGAACAAUAUCCAUCAAAAGGUUUAUACAAUGAUGUCAUCUCUCAACAUUACUGUCCUCCUCUCGCACUAACCAAAGCAUCAACUAUCCUAGCAUGAAUGAUAUUCAUGGUAUCCUCAUUCUCCAUAUCGUCACUCUCAUCUCCUUGUGUUUGUCUCGUGCCACUUGUAUAUUGUACCAAGUACUCCUACAAAACCGAGUUAGUAAGGUACAUAAUAAUACACGUAUUUCUAACUUGAUGAAGGAAUCAUGUAUACCUUUAGGAGGCACGAGAAAUAUGUCUCAAAGCAUUGUCGAGAAAAUUGAAAGAAAAGAUGAUGAACAAAGGAGGGUCAAUUCUUGUUGCUCUUUGGACUAGAGGAUUGACGAUGAUCAUUGCAGUCCUAACAAUUCUCUUGUUGCAGAACAGAGUAGCAACUUCUGAGUAGCAUAUGAUUCUUACAUCUUCCAGGCGAGGUGGCUAGUGUGCUGGAUGAAGUUGAGGUCCCUUGGCAACCUGGCAAACGCCUCCGUCAUGUCUGCAGGCAAAAUUUCCAAAAAAAACAAGAAGAUUUCAACACCACCAACAAAGCAAGCAUGUAAUCACCUGAUUAAUCAAUCAGCAAACAAUUCACAACUAGCAAUCUGUAGAAAUUAGCACGCCAUUACCGUCCUGGGUGAUGAGCGGGUAGUCGGAUGCGUUGAGGUUGACGAACCAGUCCCAGCGGCGGUGAAGGCGGAGCAGCAACGCGACGGCGUGCAGCGUGGUGGUGAGCAUGGUGGGGCCCCGGUAGGUGACGAGGUUGGGCCUGCCGACGAUCCACACGUUGCCCGCGAUCGCGUACACACCCCACCUGGACAUGAGCUCUGCCAGCCGGCAGUGCUCCUCCCCUGGACCGCAGGUAGUUGUUGGCCGGGUGGUACAGUGCCGCCAGCAGCCGCAUCGUGCGGCCCACUUCCCCUGAGGAUGCCGAGAUAAGGUAUGCGAACGAGAUCGGGUACCGCGGCGCCUCGCCGGCGGCACCGUCGAAGGCGGCCAACGAUGAGAGUGUUGACGUCGGUUUUUGACACGUGUCAGGGUCGACGUCAAGAGGAGAAGAAAGUGGCUGAUGCGGUUAAACAAGAAGCUAUGGCUAGAGAAAUCAGUCAGUAAAGCUAUAGUGUUUCAGCCGAUUAGCUAAUGAGAUAGAUGAAGACUGGCCGAUUGGAAGCUAGAAAAGCUCGGCCGAUAUGGGCCUAAAUGGGCCAAGGUGGUAACAAGAUGAAGAUAGGAUUGGCCCAUAGAGGAUUGGAUGGUGUUCGACUCCGAUACAAGUUGUAUCCGUAUGUAAAUAUUUGUUGCUUUGAAUAAGAAAUAGAAUAUUGAGUCAUAGUCGGUUAGGAAACGAGUUGUAACAGGGUAUAAAUAGGUGCCCCGUGAGGCUGGCAAAAACAUCAACAAACAUCAAUACAAAUCUACUUUUUCAUGCAACUUUACUUUCAUGUCGGCGACUUUGCCAAACCCUUUUCUUUUCACGAGUUCGUGUGAGUUGGCAGGGCUGCAUCAACGUGAUCUCCGAGCAAUUUGUAAGUUCCGCGUUUCGAGUAAUAUAUAAGCUUUAACUUUGGGCGUAUCGCUGUUGUUUUGUUUAGAUUUAUUCACUAGUUAUCGAUAUUUGCUAGAAUUAUAGGUUUUAUUCUCCGGUGGAAAGAUUGUGCCUUUGCCUGUAUUUCUCUUGCACUAAACUCAGGCGAUACCUAUUAUCGGCGGAAUGUGUGGUCGCGUGUAAAGUUGAUGUUGUCAAGUAUAUGUUAUCACUGCCGAUCUUGAAGGGAAGGAUUGGAAAAUGUAUUCUGGCACUCUCAGAAUUCGAUCUCAGGUACGAAUCGGCCAAGGCCGUCAAGGGUCAGGUAAGGCUGAUUUCGUCACCCAACACUGUGGAUCAGAAAUUACUGUCGUUGAGCCGGCUCCAUGGACUCUGUACUUCGAUGGAUAUUCGUGUGGGAUUGGAUCAGGAAUCGACAUAAUUCUUAUAUCGCCUCGGGGGGCAAGUUAUGAGUUCUCUCUGCCGAUUGAGGCUUCCGCUACUAAUAAUCAAGCAGAAAAUCGGGCUGUCUUAAAGGGCAUCCAAUUAUUGAGGGAGGUCAAGGCUGACGUGGUAGAAAUAUUUGGGGAUUCCAUGAUUAUCGUGGAUCAGUUGAUUGCAAAGUGUGAGUGCAAGGAUGAUAUUCUAAGGAUUUAUUAUGAGGAAUGCCUCCGGUUGCUCAAAGAAUUCAAGACCGUAACUAUUGAACAUAUCCCUAGGGAUUACAAUGAGGAAGCCAAUAGACUUGCCCAGCACGCUUCUGGCUACUGGCCGAUUCAUGGCGCUUUCGCUCUAGAGCUGGCGGCCGACAACUGGAGGAAGGAGAUCGCCGAUUAUUUAAAGGAUCCAUCCAAGAAAGUUGAUCGGCAGAUACGCUUCCAAGCCACAAAGUAUGUGUUACUUGAAGAUGAAUUGUUUUAUCGGACGAUUGAUGGAGUGUUUCUCAAGUGCCUUAGCAUUGAGGAAGCAAAGAUUUUGAUGGGUGAGAUUCAUGAAGGUCUAUGUGGGACCCAUCAAUCGGCUUUCAAGAUGAAGUCGAUGAUUAGAAACAAUGGGUAUUACUAGCUGACAGUACUUGAAGAUUGUUUCAAAUAUUAUAAAGGCUGUCAGGAUUGUCAAAAAUUUGGCAACGUGCAACGAGCCCCGGCCUCGGCUAUGAACCCGAUAUUAAAGCUGUGGCCAUUUAGAGGCUGGGUAAUUGAUCUCAUCGGUUAGAUCUAUCUGCCGUCAAGCAAAGGGCAUAAGUUCAUAUUGGUGGCGAUUGACUACUUCACCAAGUGGGUUGAGGCGGUUCCUUUGAAUGUUGUGAUGUCGGCCAACAUGAUCGAAUUCAUGAAGGAGCACAUCAUUUAUCGAUUUGGUAUUCCUCAGACCAUCAUGAUUGAUCAGGGGUCAAUGUUUACCUCAGGGAGUUCGAGGAGUUCACUGCCAGUAUGGGAUUAAGCUGUUGAAUUCUUCUCCGUAUUACGCUCAGGCCAAUGGUGUGACGACCCCGGUUAAAUCUUUCGAGUUAAUCUUAAUACGAGCCCCAAAAUUCCUCUGUCUCAGUUUUUCCCGAGCAGGAGUGCUCCACUCCAGUUCCUGUUCCUGACCCGUGAAGACUCUAACUCACCCCGCCAGUUCCUUUUAAGUCUCAACAACAGUGUCCCUUUCAAUCUUGAACAGAGGAAAGACCGAGACUGACGGAUGGACCCGCAAUCUUUUCCCCGGAUCUCCCGAGGCAUACGCACUCGAGCGGCCUGCACCGCUUCAGAGCUCCCCCGCCGCGUGGCUCAACUUCUCCGACGCCCGCCGCUUCACCCAAUCGCCGGCCGGGACAGGAUAGAUUCUCACGCCCUCCUCCCCAAUCGCAGCGGAAGCCCCUCUGCAACCCUUUCUGCUGCGCCUCGUCUCGCUCGCGCCCUCGCCGGCCGCGCCUUGGUGCUCCGACACCGCUGUGGCAGAGCUUUGCCGCUUGCUGCAUCCAAACUACCUCGCAGCUCACGCCCGUCAUCAUCUCACUGGAUCCCCGACUGCAAGGCCCGAUGCCUUCCGACUUUUCCACCGCCUCUACACAGUCGCGCUCGCCUGCGCAGCCGCAGCCUGCCUAUCUUUUCACCGGUUGCAACCUCGCUUGUAGCGCCGUUCUCCCUGUCACACCCAUCAGAUCCGCCGCAUGACGACGCCCGCCUCCGCCAAACCUCAACUACCGGCAAAACCGCGCCUGCGCCGCCUUGUCUCCCGUGCCCAAUAGCCAAGGACCCUAUCUCCGAAAUCCUGUUCCGCCGCCCAUCGACGCCCAGUCGCCGCCAUGGCAGCGCACUCCAUCCUUUUCUUCCGGUCUUCGUGCUACUCCAACUCCCUCUCUCUUUCGCGCAGCUAUAAAAAGGAAUGCCAGAGCCCUACUGGAGAUCCCUUCACCAUCGUUGCCUCGCCGCCUUGUUCCUGAGCGCCGCCACCUAAGUUCUUGAGGAACUCUCAUCUUCGCUCAACACCCGCCCCUCCCAAUCCACCAAGCCGCCUGCUCCUCCACGCUAUGCUAGAGCUUCCUUGUUGCUCACAAGAAGCUCCGCCGCCGCCGGAGCACCGCCGGACAUAGCCGCCACCAAAGCCUUAGUGCUUAAGACCUUCCGCCCAAGUCUACUCCUUCCCGACCCCAAAGCUUCACCUAUAAACCAAAGGUAAGCUGCCGACCCCUUACCGGUUCGCCCGACCCUACCUGUUCGCCUGACCCUACCUGUUCGCCCGACCCCUCUUUCCAUCUCGCCCGACCCUGUCUGUUAGCCGGCCCUUAUCUUCUUCGCCCGAGGACUCGGCUGUACUCUUUUCCUUGACCCGAGGGUAUCUGUGUAAGAUUUCGGGGACUUCUCUGUAAUAGCUUUGAGGACCCCAAACACAUUAAGGCUUAUGGGUCAGAUCAUAAGUUCUUCCAAUUCGACCCUUGGUCUUGUUCUCUAUCCACUGAAGCUUGAACCCCCACACUCUUUCCGUAGCUUUGCUACAAGUUUCUGGGCUAAGACUUGCGAGUGUUGCUGUUGAAAUAACCGUCUAGACACUAACUCCAGCAUUGCAUUCGUGUAGAGUUUCAUCUUGCUGACGGCGUCUACGAACUACACCCGGUGCCAGAAGACGGAGCUGUAGCUGAGCUACCAGUUCCAGAAGCCGAAGUCGCACCAGCUGAAGACCCGCUUCCCUCCCCUCCACUUGAAGGCAAGUCCCGGAGCAUGAACCCCAAAGUUUCCCAAACUUGCGCAUGCCUUCUUUCUCAUGUUUGUGCAUUUACGUAUAGGAGUUGUUUGCAACCUUAGAUGCAUGGUAUAGUUCCUUGAUCGGAACACUAGUUGUUGAAUCGAGUAGUUGCUAUGCUUAAAUAGGAAGUGGUAAAAGUCGAGUGAUUUCCUGUCACUCGCGAGUUAUAGGAGUUGGUUGUUCUCCUUCUGUUACAACUAUAAGGACGAUGGAUGGGGCAAGGUUUUGGUUAACUCUUUUGCUAGUCGGCUGAUCCCCCCGUCUGUCUAUGGAAUCUGUUAAGGCCCGAUAGUGGUGGUGUUCGUGAUCAAGUGUUUGAAAGUACUAAUCUCAUACCUAGUAUGGGAUGGGGAAGCCUAGUACCUGAUUGAACUAGGGCGUGGCUUAUACCCCUGCUGUCCCUGGAACGAGGUUCCCAUGGUGCAUCAUGUGGGUGCAAGUGCGGUCACAGUACGGUAGAGGCCGGGAUUGUGGAGCAUUGCAUGCCAAGGGAAGUUGGACCUGACACGUGCCUGGGAAUUGAUGGGGACGGCUGACACAGGAAGCGACCCUUGUGGUGCGCGGAUGUCGUGAGAUUAGGUUUGCCAUGCAUGGUUAAGAAACUCGAAGGAUUCGUCUGCCUCUCACAGUUUGAGACUGCUUGAUCGCUAUGCUACACUGAUUAAUGAAAGAGUCUGAUGAUGACAUGGUCUUGAUGAGUAGCUUAUAUACAUAAAGUUGGAUCUAUGUUUGCUUAGAGUAAGAUGCCAACGUAGACUGGUUAAUGAACUUAGAAUUUGAGCUAAAACUUGAAAGCAAGGACCUAACGUAGUAGCUUUUGGCAAACAAAACCCCUCAGCCAAAGAGCCUUGCAUGUCUAGACGUGGUGGAGUAGUUUUACCACCGGUCGGUUAAGUCUUGCUGAGCGUAGCAGCUCAACCUUGUUUGUGGCUUUCUUUUCAGGUGAAGUCGCAGCUCCUGAGUUUGCUUCCGUUGGCACUUGGCCGCCCCAGCUCCCUCCGGGUUGGACGGUUGAGUGGGAUCCUUCCUCGGACGGUGAGGAGAGGGAUCAUUGAUGUCCUGAUCGGCCUCAUUAGGGACAUCCGACCCUGGCGCUAGCUUCCGCUAAUUUAGCUUUCCGCUGCUUUUGAAUCUUGUAAAACUCUGAUUUUUGUUUUUAUGUUGAACUAAAUUGUCAAACUUGUUUAACUCAGUGGAUCUGUUGUAUUCUCUGAAACCGCUCACCUUCGUGUGAGUUUCGCUAAUCCGGUCCUGUAAGUGGUUUAAUCGGAGGAAAUCCGACGGCCCUUCGAGUUAACUUGACUAAGGCAUAAGUGUCGCGUGUCAGGCGACUUAACAAUGCUUUAAUCAAGGUAAUCCGAGGUGGUUCCACCACAAAUGGUCAGGCCAAGUCAUCAAAUAAGGGGGUUAUUAAACUGAUUAAAAGGAAGGUCAAAAAACAACCAAGACGGUGGCAUACAACGCCGAAUGAGUCCUUAUGGGCUUAUCGGAUGGCUUGCCGCGGUGCCACCAAGGUGUCCCCUUAUCAGUUAGUAUAUGUGCAUGAAGCAGUAUUACCUUGGGAGUUGAAGACUGGGUCUAGACGUGUGUCACUUCAGAAUCAGUUGUCGGUUGAUGACUAUUCCGCCCUCAUGAGGGGAGAAUUGGAAGAUUUGGCGAAUCAACAGCUAAGGGCUUUGAUCAGCAUUGAGGAAAAUAAGAAAAGAGUCACCAGGUGGUAUGACAAGAAGGUCAAGGUCAAAAGGUUUUCCCAAGGGGAUUUAGUCUGGAAGUUGGUUCUGCUGAUAGUAUGGAAAAUGGUCGCCCACUUGGGAAAGGCCAUAACGGAUUAGCCAAUGUGCUCUAGGCAAUGCAUACAUACUGGAGACUUUUGAGGAAGAAGAAUUUACAAGGGCCUUGAAUGGAAGAUAUUUGAAAAGAUACUACCCUAGUAUAUGUGUAGGCGCUUAGCCGAUGAUGUGGCAUAACGGGCUUUCACGGUCGACGCGUACUGAUUCGUGUUCAUAUAGCCGAUGCAAGGGGCAUCGCCUUAAGAUUGAAAGAGGCGAAAUAGUGUAUAUAUAACUAAACCGAUCAUUAUUCGGUACACCAACUAAAUAUAUGGCCGGCAUGAUACAAGUCGCCCUUAGAUAAAAAGUACCGACACAGUUAUGGGUUACAACGAUUUAACAACGUUUCAUGUGAGCUUUAUUCAUAUCGAUUUCUUUCUGAAGUCGAUCCAAUUCGAUCUGGAGUCGGGCGUUCUUCUCCUCUAGUUCUGCCAUGUCAUCUUCAACAGCAACUUGACAGGGUAACAGAUGGCUUCUUUCGACUGAUUGCCGUGGUUGCCUUCUAGAAGCUUUAGCCUCGAUGUCAUCCACAAUCCUCUUGAUAUUCACGGGGAGGUGAUCUCUGAGUUCCUCACGAUGAGUUUGGAUCAGGUCUUUGUCAGCCUGAGUGAGCGGUUCAUCGGAGUGGAGGAUCUCAAUGGCUCGUUCAAGAUCACGGCUGAGUCGGUUUGGCUACGAGAAGAAUUGAUGAUCAAUUGACAGAGGGAUUGGUCGAGAGAUAGGAGAUUGACUUCGUACCUGAUUGACAGAGGAGGAGGAGGCCAUCUUGGUCGCUCGAUCGAAGAUUUGUAAGCGCGCGCAAGGAAUGGUUGAGUGGGUGUUUUGCGAAUGCCUUCAGAAGGGAUGCGAAGGGUUUGUACUUAUAGAACAGAAUGGCAAUGGACAAAGGUCGGUAAAAGGAGGGCAUUUAAAGAAAGCGACCGUUGAGUCAUAAAAGCUACGUGAGGACUGUUCAGACUUGCAUUUCAGACAAAAACGCCAAAAGUAUCAACGUUACACAAGAUGUUCAAAGGCUGGUUGAGUUCGUUACAACUAUCCGAGGAGAUUGUUUAUGGUCUCAAUCGCUCGCAGGCGAACUUGGUUGGCCACCUCCAACACUCGCCGAUCAUCAUCGGCUGAUCCUAAGACUUCUGGCGCAUUGCGAUGAAGAUGGAUGGCCUCGUGAGUGAGGGAUUGUCUUUCUUGUUUAAAAUCAACGAUGGCGGUUGGAAGAUCUUCAAGUUUCUUUUCUUCGGUAGCGAUAGCCUUUACGACCAGUUCCAUCUCCUUGGUGAGCUCUGCUCUGCGCCAUUUGAGUUGGUCUAUUUCACUGAUGAUGCUUGGAUGAGAAGUCUCAUGGAGACCGAUCUACCGAUGUACGUGUUGUGCACGGUGCUUGUAGGACUCUUCUUCUUGACGCACCAUCUCCAAUUUAGCACGGUCAGCCAUGUGUCGCAAGGCUCUAAACACCGGGACCCGCAUGGUUUCGAUAUAUGCUGCGGGUGUGAGAACCUCUUCUGCGUCUUCUGGGACUUGGCCUUUGAUCUCGUUGAAAAUCCACCGUAUCAGUUUGGCAUCUUCCACCAAUCGACCGAUGUUUUCCUGAAGAAGGGUUCGCAUGUUUUGGAGCUUGGCACGGACAUCUUCUGGUAUUGAGCUCAGAGUUAUUUGGCGUGAUGCAACUUCUUCGUCAUCAGAGACCGCAAUUGCAGAGGAGAAGAGGCUUUUGUUUGGCGUGUCUUACUCCUGCAGGGAUGUGGGAAAGUGUUUUAGCCGAUAAAAGUAAAAAAUCGGCUGGUAGAUAUAGAAGGUUCUUACCUCCUUCAAACAAAUCUCUUCUGCUUGGGUUGGCAGAGUCGUUACUCCCACCUCAGAAGUUUGCGGAGGUAGCUCAUUAGAGGGGGAAGACUUGACAAUGAUCGGCUCUCUAGGCGUAGCUGAUAAUGUGCUUGGACCAGCCUCCUGGAAAAGGAACAAAGGAAUCAUUUUUGAGUAUAAAAUAAUACUGGAUCUAAGUAGAAGUCUCGGUUUUCUUACCUCUCGGACGCGCGCAGCCAACGGUAGCACCAGGGGAAUGACUGACGUAUCUGGAGCGUCCUGUGUCAAGAAUCGUCUGAUUUUAGUUAUCAGAACUGUGGAGACUAAGGGAAGAGCAUGUUCUUUACCUCAAUUUGAAGAUUUGUAGGUAACACAAUUUUAGCUUGAGAAUCGGCCAAUUAAGGAACAGUCUGCUCUAGGAUAGGUUGUACGGCCUGUUGAAAAGAAACAAAUUUAGUAUUGGUGAUACAUAUGAAGAAGUCAGAGCAGAAAGAUUACUCGUGUAGCUUUCACCAAGAGUAACACAAUCGCCGACCCAGCCUCUGAUGCUGCUAGGGGAUCAAUGUCCUGAAUUGCCGACAAUACAUCUGCUUGGAUUGGUGCGGCUGAGGGCUCGACCGAUGUUGCUGCCGAUUGGUGGGUUGUUCGAGUUGUCGUAGAUUCAGUACGAGCUCAUACCCUGCGACUCGUCUUCUUUGUGGUGGAUAUUUUGAGCUUAUGCUUCAAUCGGUUGGUGGCUAUGUCCUCCAUUGAUGGGGCGUGAUAGCCGAUGAGAGGGUACGGUGUGUACGGAUGAUGGGUCUGUAUCAGUCUGCCACUCUAACUGUGCGUUGGAGGCACUUGGCUAUCAACCUGUGCAGGGUAAAAGGAUAAUGAUAAGAAAGUUCUGCAACAUGUGAAAAUUAUUGGUAAGGAAUCGACAAAAAAGUAUUGUUACCUCUGCAUUCGGAUCAGUGUGAGCGGGGUCCAGUUGAUUGCAAUACACUGCAGGGGCCGCACAGGAAAGGUACUGUUUCCACUCGGCCCACCACAAUUUGAAUUGUUGAGUGGAGAAGGGGACCACCAGCCAAGCGCUCAGAUCGAUGGUGUCGGAAUCCGGUGUCAGAUUACACAAUCUGUUGUAUUCCAGUCCUUUUGAAAUCGGUUCUCAAAAUUUCACUCGGCCGACGAAGUGAAUCCGAUUGGUAUUUGUCCCAAGCCAAAUUGCCGAGCUGCUACCGACGGGUUAUAGAACUCAUAUGUUGGAGAGUCCUUGCCAGAGAAGAAAUUUGCCGGUAGAAUCCCAGGUUGAUCAGGGUGUCCAUGAUUCCUUCAUCGAAGGUAUCGGUAGCCUAGUCAAAACAGUCAGGAUUCUAAAAAGUUGGGUUCUCUCUCUGAUAUGGAUACCAAUUCGUCACCUCUUCUUUAAAGCUGUUGUAAAAGCAUCUAAAGUGCUCGGCUAUUCUUGAGGGGGCAAGCUUGCCGCCUGGGAAAGUGGAUACGGCUUCACUAAAGGAAGUACAGCGGCGUCUGGCCAAUGGGUCGGUUUCUGAUUUAACAUUAGGAAAGUCUUGGUCUCAAUCCGCUCCUUGAAGAUUUCGCUCAUAUAUAAGUUGAGCUAGAGAUUGACAAACCACCAAGGACCACCAGGAUUCCUGAUAGGUUCUCCAGAUGAUAGCUUCACGCCGAUGUGAUGCAGCAUGUAAUACACUGACCCUAGUAGAUGCUUUCCCAAAGGGACUGUGGCUCCUCUAACUAGUGCUUCGGCCAAAGCCUGUGUGUUGGAAGUAGGACUGGCUAAUUUACCACAGAAGACAUACCUUUCCUGCCACAUCAUCAAGAAGGUCGUGUGCUCUUUUUCUGUGUUGGGUCCGGUCCUCAUGUUCUUCUCAAUGUAGCCUUUCCAUGUGCUGAUGGCUUUCGUCUCCAGCCGAUGGGUGGGUUUGAUUAAGAAAUCGAAAGGUGAGUCGGUGGAGGAAACAUCGAGGCCAGUCAGCAUCAGAACAUCGGCCAGGGUUGGAGUCAUUGGCCCAUGGUCGAAAAGAAAUGCAUUGAGAGCAUCGGACCAAAAGUAAGAUGCCGCGAUGAGCAGAGAUUCUUUCUUUUCCAUAUGAGAUAGAGAUAAAUUUCUGCAAUGGCCGAUUUUUCGCUCAUCCCAGAAGACUCUGUUGGAAUUUGACAUUCUAAAAAACCAAUCUCUCCAUCCGGGGGUUUGAUUCGGCCAAGACUUGAAAGUGUUCGCCCAAUUGUCUAGUUCCAUGGUCGAUUGCUUAAAAGGGAUCCUGUGAGUUUCUAGUUUAAUCAGAUCGGUUGGGUUAGGAUCUCCCAUAGAGCCAAGAUCGAUGAAUCCAGGGGUGUUGGCCAUGGGAUGGUGAUUCUUUGCCUGAGUUCUUGAGCAAAUGCGAAGAAAGACUAAGAACAGAUCUAAAAUCGCGAAAAGAUGAGGAGAGCCUAGAAGACUUACCUCAGGAACGAAGGUCAUGGUAGCUAUGGGUGCCACCAUUGGAGCUUGGGAGUUGGUGCGGUCGGUGAAGGACGUGAGCAAGUCACUGGAGUGCGCUGGGAUGUGCCUAGAAGUGGCACGAGCAAGGUCGCUGGGGUGUGCCGGGAGAUGAUUCGCUGGAAAGGAAACCCUUUUCGCCCGGAGGAAGAUGAAGCGGCGGAAGAGAUGAGUAUCUGCACGAUGACUCGGGAGAAGGGUAAAUAUGAAAUUUUUACCACGCCGUCUGCGCUAAUUUCGAAAGGAGCGGUUGCCUACAGGUGCUCAGUUCGAAAAAAUGCAAUCAUCAAGGAGAAGAUUUCGGGAGCAAAGAGGGUUUUGCUGCAUUUAUUGUUGCGUCUUUUCUGAAAGAAGGAAUCAGAGUUGAGAAAAUUUCGGAGAAAAAGAUAUGUUUCACUAUGAAGCUGGGAGGCAUGUGUUGAUGCCAGUUUUUAACACGUGUCAGGGUCGGUGUCAAGAGGAGAAGAAAGUGGCCAAUGCGGUUAAACAAGAGGCCAUGGCUAGAGAAAUCGGUCAGUAAAGCUAUAGUGUUCUGACCGAUUAGCUGAUGAGAUAGAUGAAGACUCACCGAUUGGAAGCCAGAACGCUGGAUUUUGACACGUACUUGAAAUCGGUGUCAAAGAAGGAGAAAGGGGGGCCGAUGCGGCGGACUAGAAGCUACAGUUGGGAAUCGGCCGAUUGAAGCUACAAUGUUUCAGCCGAUUGGCGGAAGAAAUUGGUGGAGGCUGGCCGAUUGGGAGUCAAAGCAGUUUGGCCGGUUUGGGCCUAAGGUGGGCCAGGAUGAAUAUUUGCUGAAGAGACAGGCCCGUGGGAAAAUAAUAACCAACUCGAAUACGAGUCGUGUUUGUAACUAUUUGUUGUCGUUUGAAAUUAGAGAUAGAUUCUAGUCGGUUAGGAAAUCAGUUCCAACACGCUAUAACUAGCUACCUCGAGAGGCUUGUAAAAAAAACAACACAUCAAUCAAUACAAAAAAAAUUACUCUUUCCUCGUACUUUACUUUCAAGUCGGCGACUUCGCCAAAACCUUUUUCUUUCACGAGUUCGUACGGAUUGGCAGGGCUGGAUCUACAGGAUCUCCGGCCGAUUCUGUAAGUUCCACUUAUCGAGUAAUACUAAGCUUUAACUUCGGGCGCAUCGCUGUUAUUUUGUUUAGAUUUAUUCACCAGUUAUCGAUAUCAACUAGAGUCAUAGGUUUUACCUGUUAUUUUAGUUUUUAUCACCAAUUAUCCAUCUUGAGGUACGAACUGUCGGUUUUUAUUAUUCUUAUCCUUUAUCAUCACAUAGCCGAUUAGAUCUACUCCAAGUUUUGCUUCUGUAGUGUUGUUUAGGUUGCUGUAAAAGUUUUCCUUAUGAUUGCUACAUGAGUAUCGGCUGUCUUAUAGCCGGUCAUCUCUACGGUAAAUCGGCCGAUUCGCUGAUACGCUCUUCAAGACAGAUCGGAACUCUAGCCGAUCGAAACCCCUAGAAUUUAAUAUUCUUCUUUCCAUGUCAAUCAUUAGGUCAGAUUGACUGGCAUGCCGCGCGAACCGCACUAGGGCAAUAACUCGAACAGGAGCUAAGUAGAUUCUCCUGGGUCGUGUGUCCGACGCUGAGGGUCAUCGGCCAAUUUUCAGCACCAACACACUUUUGGCAUGCCCGGUGGGACCAAACAAGAUCCAACAUGUCGAAGGCUGCUGAGAUCUUUGAAGAUAACGUCCUUGAAGUCAUUGAAGAAAAUCUCAAGGACGAUCAGAAGGAGGAACUGGCGAGGGCUAUAGAAGAAUACAGGAAGACAUGCCUGCAAUCUUUCAUUCGUACCAGAAGCGGGGAGACAGUCAAGAAAGCUCCUCUCUCCACUUCCCGCCAAAUCACCGUCAUCGAGGACUCAGGGAAGAUGUCUGAGAUGAUUCAACAGUCCGUUUAUCAGGCUAUGAUUGACCAAUCCACGGUGAUGACCAACACUGUAUACAACGCCAUCAUCAGCUCCUUGGUUAGCGGCGUAGCUCAGGGGUAUCAGGGACUAGCGUAUGCUCCUCCCAUCGUGGCACCGAUCAGAGGCUUCUUAGCAGCGCCAAACGUGUGUCACUCGACUCCUCAACUAAUGCAGAUGCAACGUGGAGGGUACUACACUUCAAUGCCCCUGGGGUACAAUGGUGCAUCAUUCUAUCAAUCGCAAGAACCGUCUCAUCCUAUGCCAAUUUCAUCCAUACAAUCGCCGCUCUCAAACUCGGCGCCAUGGGGGGUAGCAGCAGCAACCGCCGGUCUGGAUCCGUCAACCAGUUAUGGAAAGUCUCCAGUCCAGGCGUUAUUCCAAUCGGCCGAGGCCGAUAGCCCCGCAAUACCAAACAACCACUUCAGAUAUCGGCAGGAGGACAGGCGCUCUAGAAACACUCAGGGUUGCGGCGUCGAUAAUAUUGUACGAUGAAGUGACAGAUACACUAUGUCAGCAGCCAUCGGCUACUCAGCCGACAACCCAGCCACAAUAUCUGCAGAACACUCCAGUUUAUCACCCGAUCAUGGAACCGCAAAUCCAACAGCACGUACCGAUUCCUCAGCCGGUCGUGCAUCAGCAGCAGGUUGAUUGGACCGCGAAGAUAGCAGAGGUAAUUCAAGAUCAGUUUGUGUUAAAAGCAAAAGUACAAACUUACAUGUACAAGACGCCAUACCCACUUGCCUACGAUCUGUUACCGUUCCCUCAUCGGUACAAAGUCCUUGACUUCACCAAGUUCUCGGGCCUAGACGACACGUUGACUGUCGAGCACGUUAAUAGGUUCAUCAUCCAGUGCAGGGAGGCUGCUACGCAAGAUGCUUUGAUGGUGCGCUUGUUCUCGUCAUCCCUAUCCGGAUCAGCCUUGCAGUGGUUCACUACACUGCCGCCCAACGCCAUCGUUACCUUGGCCGAUUUGGAAAAGCAAUUCCAUAAGUACUUCUAUGCGGGAAUCCACGAGAUGAAACUCUCAGACCUAACUAGCCUCAAGCAAAGAAGCGAUGAGUCGAUGGCCAGCUACAUACAGAGGUUUAGGAAAGUUAGGAACAAGUGCUACACCUUGGUCUGGACUGACACCCAACUAGCCGAUAUCACCUUCCAAGGACUCCUGCCACACAUCAAAGAGAAGUACGCCUCCCAGGAGUUCGAAAGCUUGAGCCAAAUCGUCCAUCGGCUGUCCGGCCAAGAGAUACACCCUUUCGACCAACGAAGGAACUUUCAAAAGAAGGUAGCUUAUGUGGAAGGGUCUGAAUCGGGAGAGAAGGCGGAAAUCGGCCUAGCAGAGUCGGUAAAAGGAAAAAAGCCGAUAUCAUGCCCGUUUGGAAAAAAGGAACCAGAAACAUUCGGCUUUGACACGUCAAAAGCCGACAAAGUCUUCGACUUGCUGCUUCAAGAGGGGCAGAUCAAACUUUCGCCUUACCACACCAUUCCGUCGGCCAAGCAGCUCAAAAAGAUGAAAUACUGCAAAUGGCACAAUACCACAUCCCAAGACAAAAAUGAGUGCAAGAUCUUCCGACAAUAGAUACAAUUAGCCAUUGAGCAAGGAAGACUCAAGUUCGAGGUUCCAGCAAAACCAGUGAAGCCGAUGAAGAUUGAUCAACAUCCCUUCCCCGCCAACAUGGUCAAUGUAGGAAGAAACGCACUCCAAACCAAAGUUUUGAUGUUAGAAUUGGCCAGGAGAAGCGGUGCAGUGGAUCCCAAAAAUCAGGCCACGAUCGGAGAUGUCAAAGGAAAAGGACGGAUGGAAGAAGAAGGUGAAGGAUCAGAAAGGCCACGUCGGCCUGUCACUUCCCAAGACUUACUCAGCAAGUAUCAGCAGCAGCGGGAAGAUUCAAGACGCCACGAAGAGAUGAUGCGCCGACACGAAGAUCACUGGAGGUGCCCGUUUUUCAUCCACUGCUGGGAGAAUAACCUUAGAUUACCGUCGGCUGAUAAUUGCCCUGAGUGCAACGGCCAGUAUCGCAGUGGUCGUCCGUUCAAUAGAUCACGCUCCAAGGAUCGAGGGCUAGAGCCAAUCAGCAGAAAGAGGCACGAGCAAGGAGAUCGGCGCGUUUCAGUGCGUGAUCGGCUGGGGGGUAGAGUUGACCAGCAUAAUCGGCUGGGGGGCAGAACCAGCGCACAUGAUCGGCUGGGGGGUAGAACCAGCGCACAUGAUCGGCUGGAAGAGAUAGCUGACGCCAAAGUCUCAGAUGAGAACCUCCUAGGGUGAGAAUCAGGCUGGGAGCGUGCAAAGCCGCCGAGUAAACCAGUAAACCCCAGAUGGUGCCCAGCCGGUUUGACUAAGUCCUUGAAACGGAGGGUCCAGCGUUUGCACCAAUGGGAGCAGCAAGAAGAAAAACAAAGGUAGGUGAUGGAUAACAAAGGGGACAGGUCUCGAGUAUGGCGUCCUAGAAGAAAAUCCGACGCAGGAGACUAAAAUCAUGAUUCGACAGCUGACUUCAGCAUGAUGUUCAUCUUGCCGAUGGAGUUCAUGCCUCCCGCCGACCGGGACAAUGCGAUAGAGAUAGAGGAGCAAAUGGCACAAUUGGCUCUGGAGCCAAUGACCGCCACUUUUGAGAAACCCGAGGAUUAAAAACGCCAACAUCUCAAGGCCCUGUUCCUCAAAGGACAUGUCAACGGACGACCAGUCACCAAGCUGUUGGUAGAUGGAGGCGCUGCUGUGAACAUCAUGCCCUAUGCUAUGUUCCGCAAAUUGGGCAAAGGUAAAGAAGAUCUAACAAAGACGGAUAUAAUGCUCAAGGAUUUCGAAGGCAACGUAUCUCCGGCCCGAGGGGCACUCUGCGUCGACCUCACCAUCGGGAGUAAGGCCCUACCCACUAUUUUCUUUGUUAUUAAUGGCAAAGGCUCCUACAACAUGUUGCUCGAGCGAGAUUGGAUCCACGCAAACUGCUGCAUCCUGUCUACGAUGCACCAAUGCCUUGUCCAAUGUGUCGGCGACAACAUCGAAGUAGUCAUCGCCGAUUCCACCUAUAGCGUUGCCACGGCCGACGCACAACAGUGGAGCUACGAUCACGUCAAAUUCAAAUAUGGUAGGGUUUGGGACACCAAUUUCCUAAAGGUGUCCGAUUUCGGUCUACAGCCAAUCCAAGCAGUCAGCUCUAAAGAAUCAAGUUAAAAUGGAUCAGUUCAUCUGAGAAGAUGGGAAGCUCGGGCACGGGUUUACGUCGGCCGAUUCAUUGGAGAUGGUGGACCUUGGAGAUGGCAACAAGCCAAAGCCGACGUAUAUUCGUGCUAGGUUAGAACCCGAGUAUAAGCAUGAAUUAAUGAGUCUUUUACGAGAAUUUAAAGAUUGCUUUGCUUGGGAGUAUCAUGAGAUGCCUGGUCUAGACCGGUCCAUCGUCGAACACCGGUUGCCUAUAAAACCAGGGCAUUGGCCGCAUCAGCAACCUGCACGACGUUGUAAUCCUAAAAUUUUACCUGAUAUAAAGGCCGAGAUUACAAGAUUAAUUGAAGCAGGGUUUAUUCGGCAAUGUCGCUAUGCCGAGUGGAUUUCCAAUAUUGUGCCCGUAUACAAGAAAAAUGGAAAGUUACGUGUGUGCAUUGACUUCAGGAAUGUUAAUCAGGCUAUGUCGAUGGAUGGAUAUCCGAUGCCGAUGGCUGAUGUUUUAAUAGACGCCACCGCAGGACACAAAGUCAUCACCUUCAUGGAUGGUAAUGCUGGGUACAAUCAGAUAUUAAUAGUCGAAUAAGAUAUUUCAAAGACGGCUUUCAGAUGCCCAGGCCACCUCGGUUUGUUCGAGUGGGUAGUAAUGAGUUUCGGUUUAAAAAAUGCUGGAGCUACGUACCAACGGGCUAUGAAUUAUAUAUUCCACAAGCUUAUUUGUGUCCUGGUGGAGAUCUACAUUGACGAUGUCGUGGUCAAAUCAAAAGGGUAUCAGGAACACCUGGCCGAUUUGCGAAAAGUGUUGGAAUGCACAAGAAAGCAUGGGUUGAAGAUGAAUCCAAACAAAGUGUGCCUUCGGCGUUUCGGCUGGACAGUUUCUGGGAUUCAUGAUUCACGAGCGAGGCAUCGAGAUCAAGCGAAAAAUUAUAGUUGCUAUCAACAAAGUCGUGGGCCCCCAGAAUAAGACUGAGCUACAGUACUUAAUCAGCAAGGUUAACUUCAUCCGACGGUUCAUAUCUAACUUGUUCGGGCGUAUUCAAGCUUUCACCCCUUUGUUGAAAUUAAAACCCGAUCAAGAAUUUGUAUAGGGUAAGGAAUAGCAGAAAACAUUAGAUGGCAUCAAACAAUACCUAGUCUCGCCACCAGUAUUGGUUCCGCCGCAGGCCAACAAGCCAUUCAAAUUAUACCUAUUGGCUGAUGAACGAGCUAUUGGGUUGGCGCUGGUCCAGGAAUGUGAAGGAAAAUAAAGAGUAAUCUAUUAUGUCAACAGAAGACUCCUGAACGUUGAAACUAGAUAUCCUCCGGUGGAACGGCUGUGCCUUUGUCUAUAUUUUUCAUGCACCAAACUCAGGCACUAUCUGUUAUCGGCAGAGUGCAUAGUCGUUUGCAAAGAUGAUGUGGUCAAGUACAUGUUGUCAUUGCCGAUUUUGAAAGGGAGGAUUGGAAAGUGGAUUCUAGCUCUCUCAGAGUUCGACCUGAGGUACGAAUCGGCCAAAGCUGUCAAGGGGCAAGUAAUGGCCGAUUUCGUGAUCCAGCACUGUGGACCAGAAAUUACUGUCGAACCAGCUCCGUGGACACUAUACUUUGAUGGGUCUGCGUGUGGGGCCGGAUCGGGAAUCGGCAUCAUCCUCAUAUCGUCUCGAGGGGCAAGUUAUGAUUUCUCUCUGCCGUUUGAGGCGUCCGCUACUAAUAAUCAAGCGGAGUAUCGGGUUGUUCUAAAAGGUAUCCAAUUAUUAAGAGAGGUCAAAGCUGACGUGAUGGAAAUUUUUGAGGAUUCCAUGCUCAUUGUAGAUCAAUUAACUGGAAAGUCUGAAUGCAAGGAUGAUAUCUUGAGGAUUUACUACGAAGAUUGCCUCAAGUUAUUGAAGGAGUUCAAGUCUUUGAUUAUUGAGCAUAUUCCCAGGAAUUACAACGAAGAAGCCAAUAGACUUGCCCAACAUCCUUCCGGGUAUCGGCUGUGUUGACGCCAGAUUUUGACACGAGUAAAAUCGGCGUUAGAAGUGGAAGAAAUUAGGAGAUGCGGCGAGAUACAAGGGCAACGAUUGGAAAUCGGCCGAUUGGUGCUACAGUCAAGGAUCGGUUGGUUGGUGCUGCAGUCAAGGAUCGGCCAAUAGAUGCUACAGACGAGGAUCGGCCGAUUGAUCCUUAGAGUUCCGCCUCGCACGACCCCUGGUUUGGGAUCGGACACGCCCGACCCUCCAAGGGAGGAUCUCCGCCUCGCCCGACCCCUGGUUUGGGAUCGGACGCGCCCGACCCUCCAAGGGAGGAUCUCCGCCUCGCCCGACCCCUGAGGUUUGGGAUCGAACGCGCCCGACCCUCCAAAGGAGGAUCUCCGCCUCGUCCGACCUUAGUUCCCAGGGUCGAAAUGAGUCUGAGCCCUCGAUAUGUGGGUCCUGAUCGGUUACCCCCCUUGCCAAAGAGGUGAUCGGCCGAUUAGGAGGUUGGAAUAGUUGGGCCGAUGUGGGCUCAAGAAGGAUUAUGAAGAUGAAGAGGGGGUCAGCCCAUGAAGCGCGUGAAAAUAGUACGAAUCGUACUUGUAAAUAUUCGUUUUCUGUUUAAAUUUAGGGAUAGAGUUCUAGUCGGAUAAGAAGUCGUUUGUACGGGGCUAUAAAUAGCCACCGUUGUAGAUCUGUAAUCAUCAUCAACUCAAUACAACAAACUACUAUUUCCUCGUACUUACUUUCAAGCAGGCGACUUUACCAACACUUUUUCUCCUUUUUCACGAGUUCGUACGGGUUGGCGGGGCUGCAUCAACUUGACCUCCGGCCGAUCUUGUAAGUUCCGUUUAUCGACUAAAUUCUAAGCUUUAACUUCGGGCGCAUCGCUGUCAUUUCGUUUAGAUUUAUUCAUCAGUUAUCGAUAUUUACUAGAAUUCUAGGUUUUACCUGUUGUUCUAGUUUUAUCACCAAUUAUCCAGCUAGGAAUCGGUAAAUUCGGCUUUCUUUAUACUUCUCUGUCUAAUCUAUUUAUUUUAGCCGAUUAGAUCUGUUCCUAGUGUUGCUACUGUAGCGUUGUUUAGAUUACUCUAGCAGUUUUCUUUAUAAACGUUACCUGGUAAUCGGUUGCACUAUAGCCGAUUUCCUUAUUACGGCAAAUCGGCCGAUUCGCUGAUAAGCUUUCUUGAGAUCGGAACCUUAGCUGAUCGCAACCUCUGGGAACUGACACGUUUAUUUCCUUGCCAAUCAACAGUUCAGAUUGGCUGGCUCGCCGCGCGAACCGUACCAGGGCAAUCACCCGAACAGGAGUUAAGCAGAUUCUCCCGGGUCGUGUGUCCGACGCUGGGAAUUCGGUCAGCUGAUUUCUAGUGCCAACACACUUUUGGCACGCCUAGUGGGGCCAAUACAACCGCCACCAUGUCGAAAGCUGCUGAAGUCUCCGAAGAUAACAUCAUCGAAGUGACAGAGGCAGAUCUCAGGGACGACCAGAAGGAAGAACUAGAGAGGCAGACAGCAUACUACCGGAAGACAUGUCUGCAGUCCUUCAGUCGCACCAGGAGCGAGGAGACUAUCAAAAAGGCUCCGUUUCCAACUCCCCGCCAGAUCACAAUCACCGAGGAUUCGGACAAGAUGUCCGAGAUGGUCCAGCAAUCCGUCUAUCAAGCUUUCAUUGAUCAAUCCCCGGUGCUUUCUAAUACGGUAUACAAUGCCGUCAUCAGCUCCUUGGCUAGUGGUGUAUCUCAAGGGUACCAGGGGCCGGCAUAUGUUCCGCUGAUUAUGGCUCCGAGCAAUGCGGCGACAUGAAGAUCACUGGCGAUGCCCGUUCUUCAUCCACUGUUGGGAAAGCAACCUUAGGUUGCCUUCGGCCGAUAAUUGCCCCGAGUGCAACGGCCCGUAUCGUAACAAUCGGCCGUUCAGCAGGUCUCGCUCCAGAGAUGGGAGAUCAGAGCCGAUCAGCAGGAACUGGCGCGACCAAGACAACCGGCGCCCUCCAGUACGUGAUCGGCUGGGGGGCAGAAGUGACCGGUAUGACCGGUCGGAAGGCAGGCGCAAUGAUGGGCCGGGGGCAGAUUUAAUCGACGUGACCGGCCAGAAAAUAGAGUCAGCGUCCACAGACGACUUGAAUAGAUGGCCGAUGCUCGGGUGUUAGAUGAGAACCCUUUAGGACGCGAACUAGAAUGGGAACGCGCCAGGCCACGAACCAAACCGGUGAACCCCAGGUGGUGCCCCGAUGGAUUGACCAAGUCUCAAAAACGAAGAAUCCAACGUCUCCGCCAGUGGGAACAGCAGGAAGAAGAGCAACAGUACACGACGGACGAGAAGAAAGGCAGGUCUUAGGUAUGGCGCCCCAAAAGAAACGACAGAGGAGGCGACAAAUCAGCAGGCGAUGAAUCGGCAGCCGAUAUCGACAUGGUCUUCAUACUGCCGAUGGAAUUCAUGACUCCUGCCGACCAACAGGACAUGUCAGCAAUAGAAGAGUAGAUGGCGCAAUUGGCUUUGGAGCCAAUGACAGCCACAUUCGAGAAGCCCGAAGAAGACAAACGGCAACACCUGAAAGCGUUGUUUCUUAAAGGGCAUGUCAACGGCCGACCCAUCACCAGAUUACUGGUAGACAGAGGGGCUGCAGUCAACAUCAUGCCGUACGCCAUGUUCCGGAAGCUAGGGAAGAGCAAUGAUGACCUGACCAAGACAGACAUGAUGCUCAAGGACUUCGAGGGCAACGUAUCCCCCGCUCACGGCGCUCUCUGCGUCGACCUCACCAUCGGCAGUAAGACCCUUCCUACUACUUUCUUUAUUAUUAAUGGCAAGGGGUCCUACAACAUGCUACUCGGCCGAGACUGGAUACAUGCAAAUUGCUGUAUCCCAUCUACAAUGCAUCAAUGCCUCGUAUAGUGGGUCGGCGACAACAUUGAGGUGGUCACCGCCGAUUCCGCAUACAGCAUCGCGGCAGCCGACACGCAACAGUGGAGCUGCGAAACCGUCAAGUGCAUAUCCGGGAGAGUAUGGGAUACUGACUUCUUGAAGGUGUCCGAUUUUGGCCUACAGCCGAUCCGAGCAGUCGGCUCUGAGGACUCAGAUUAAAUGGAUCAGUUCACCCGAGAAGAUGGGAAGCUGGGACAUGGGUUCACGUCGGCCGAUUCAUUAGAAAUGAUAGACUUAGGCGAUGGCACCAUACCAAGGCCGACAUAUAUUAGUGCAAAUUUAGAUCCGGAAUACAAAUGUAAACUGACAAGUUUGUUAAGAGAACUUAAGGAUUGCUUUGCUUGGGAAUAUCAUGAGAUGCCCGGAUUAGACCGAUCUAUCGUUGAACAUCGGUUACCCAUAAAGCCAGGGUAUCGGCCGUAUCAACAGCCUGCACGGCGGUGCAAUCCUAAAAUCCUACCGGACAUAAAGGCCAAAAUAACGCGGCUAAUCAAAGCAAAAUUUAUUCGGCAAUGCCGUUAUGCCGAAUGGAUCUCCAACAUUGUACCAGUAUAUAAGAAGAACGGAAAGUUACGCGUAUGCGUCGAUUUCAGGAACCUCAAUCAGGCCACACCAAUGGACGGAUACCCCAUGCCGACGGCUGAUGUACUGAUAGAUGCCGCCGCGGGACACAAGGUUAUUAGUUUCAUGGAUGGAAACGCUGGGUACAAUCAGAUACUUAUGGCCGAAGAAGACAUAUCUAAAACGGCCUUCAGAUGCCCGGGUCACCUUGGUUUAUUCGAGUGGGUGGUAAUGACUUUCGGCUUGAAAAAUGUCGGCGCUACGUAUCAGAGAGUCAUGAACUACAUAUUCCACAAACUUAUCGGCAUACUAGUAGAAAUCUACAUCGACGACGUCGUAGUCAAGUCAAAAGGACACCAGGAGCAUCUGGCCGAUUUACGACAGGUGUUGGAAUGCACUAAGAAACAUGGGCUGAAGAUGAACCCGAAUAAGUGUGCCUUCGGCGUAUCCGCCGGACAAUUCUUAGGAUUCAUGGUGCACGAGCGGGGAAUAGAAAUCAAUCAGAAGACUAUAGCGGCCAUCAACAAAAUUGUGGCCCCGCAGAAUAAAACUGAGCUGCAAUCUCUAAUCGACAAGAUGAAUUUCAUCAGGAGGUUCAUAUCUAAUUUGUCUGGGCGAAUCCAAGCCUUCACACCAUUAUUAAAGUUGAAGCCCGACCAGGAGUUCGUAUGGGGGGAAGAGCAACGCAAGGCAUUGGAAGAUAUCAAGCAGUACUUGGUCUCACCACCGGUAUUGGUCCCUCCUCAAACUGGUAAGCCGUUUAAACUAUAUUUAUCAGCCGAUGAACGAGCUAUUGGGUCGGCUCUGGUCCAGGAGUUCGAGGGAAAGGAACGAGUAAUUUAUUAUGUCAGUAGAAGACUUCUGGACGCCGAAACAAGGUAUCCUCCAGUGGAGCGGUUGUGCCUAUGCCUUUACUUCUCAUGUACCAAACUCAGGCACUAUUUGCUAUCAGCGGAAUGUGUGGUCGUAUGCAAGGACGACGUGGUAAAAUACAUGCUGUCACUGCCGAUUUUGAAAGGAUGGAUCGAAAAAUGGAUCUUGGCUUUGUCGGAGUUUGACCUUCGAUAUGAAUCGGCAAAAGCCGUUAAGGGUCAGGUCAUGGCCGAUUUCGUUGCCCAGCACUGCGGGCCAGAGGCUACCUUCGUAGAACCAGUACCUUGGACCUUAUACUUUGAUGGAUCGUCAUGUGGGGCCGGAUCAGGAAUCGGCAUCGUCCUCAUAUCGCCUCGGGGGGCAAGCUAUGAUUUCUCUCUACCGAUAGAAGCAUCCACCACUAACAAUCAAGCAGAGUACUGAGCUGUACUGAAGGGAUUACAAUUGCUAAGGGAAGUCAAAGCUGAUUCCGUCGAAAUUUUUGGGGAUUCCAUGCUUAUCGUGGAUCAGUUAACAGGGAAAUCCGAGUGCAAGGACGAUGUAUUGAGGAUUUAUUACGAAGAUUGCCUCCUGCUUCUGAAAGAAUUCAAGUCGGCAGUUAUCGAGCACAUCCCAAGGAAUCACAACGAGGAUGCCAACAAGCUCGCCCAACACGCAUCUGGGUAUCGGCCGAUUCAAGGCGCCUUGGCUCUAGAGCUCGCGGCCAAUGACUGGCGAAAGGAGAUUGCCGAUUACCUGAAAGAUCCGUCUAAGAAAGUGGAUCGGCGGGUAUGUUUUCAUGCUACCAAAUAUGUGCUACUGGAAGACGACUUGUUCUACCGAACAAUUGAUGGCGUCCUACUCAAGUGUCUAGGAACGGAGGAGGCUAAGACUCUGAUGGGAGAAAUCCAUGAAGGAGUGUGUGGAGCCCACCAAUCGGCACAUAAGAUGAAAUGGAUGAUUAGGAAUAAUGGGUAUUACUGGCCGACGAUCCUCGAAGAUUGCUUCAAAUAUUAUAAAGGAUGUCAGGAUUGUCAGAAAUUCGGGAAUGUCCAACGUGCGCCCGCAUCGGCCAUGAAUCCCAUUAUCAAACCAUGGCCGUUCAGAGGUUGGGGGAUAGACCUCAUCGGCCAAAUUUAUCCUCCGUCAAGCAAAGGGCACAAGUUCAUUCUGGUGGCCACUGAUUAUUUCACCAAGUGGGUGGAGGCAAUUCCGUUAAGGGCCGUGACAUCGGCUGCUAUGGUUGACUUCGUAAGAGACCAUAUCGUCUACCGUUUCGGCAUCCCCCAGACUAUCACGACCGAUCAAGGGACAAUGUUUACAUCAGGAGAAUUCGAGGAGUUCACAGCCGACAUGGGAAUCAAAUUAUUAAACUCCUCUCCGUAUUAUGCCCAAGCUAAUGGCCAGGUCGAAUCUUCCAACAAGGGGAUAAUUAAGUUAAUCAAGAGGAAGAUAGAGGAGCAGCCGAAAAAGUGGCAUCUAUGUCUGACUGAAGCUCUAUGGGCAUACAGGAUGGCUUGCCAUGGGGCCACUAAGAUGUCCCCUUAUCAGUUGGUGUACGGUCACGAGGCAGUACUACCAUGGGAGUUGAGGGCAGGAUCGAGACGCACUUCGCUCCAGGACCAGUUAGCGGCCGACGACUACUCCUCACUCAUGAAAAGGGAACUUGAUGACUUGGCUGGCCAACGAUUGAGAGCUUUGAUAAGCAUCAAAGAAAACAAGAAGAAAGUGGCCAGGUGGUAUGAUAAGAAAGUCAAAGUCAAACAAUUCUCUCCGGGGGACCUGGUAUGGAAGUUAGUGUUGCCGAUCGGGUCGAAAGAUCCUAAAUUCGGUAAGUGGUCCCCUACGUGGGAAGAGCCGUAUAAAAUCGGCAGAUGUGCUCCAGGAAACGCUUAUAUUCUGGAAACAAUCGAAGGAGAGAAGAGUUUACUAGGGCUUUGAACGGAAGAUACUUGAAAAGGUACUACCCUAGUAUAUGGGUCGGAGCAUAAGGAUCGACCAUGAUGAACAACACACAGCCAAUACAAAAGGAUUCGUCUAGAGAAAAAAACGUAAUCGUCCAAAUCGGCCGAUGUAUUUCAUUCGGUACGGACGGUGGGUUACACGGCCGACAAGGUACAAGUUGCCCUUAGAACAAAAAAAAAUUAAUCACGCUUUUUCUUAAGCUCUCUCUCAGCCCGACCUAGUUCUAUCAGAAGACGGAUGUACUCUUCUUUUAUCUCUUUCAUCGAAGCCUCCGCUUCGACUUGACGGGGGAGAGGGUGACUCCGGUCCAUGGCCGGGCGUGAUGUUCCUACUGCUGCAUCUUCAAGGACGAUUUGAUGAGGAAGCGGAUGACUUCUGUCGGCUUGAGGUCGCCGGUGGUCGUUGCUGUCCAGAAAGUCCCAGAUCCAUCGGAUGUCGGCAGGGACGUGCUCUUGGAGUUCGUCGCGAUGAGCUCUGAUUAAAUCCUUAUCUUCUUGCGACAACGGUUCAUCGGAGUGUACAAGUCCGAUGGCUCGUUCGAGUUCGGGGCUAAGGCGCCGUGGCUGCGGAAAGCAACAAUAUACAUAUAGCUGCCGAAAAGGUGAUUCCCUUCAGAAGAGCUAAACUAAGAAAGAGAAUGAAGGCAAAUCUUUUACCUGAUUAACGGAGGAAGAGGUAGAGGAUGGAGAAGACAUGACUGAAAGGCGCACCGACGUGAACAGGUCGAGGAAGAUGAAGCCGAGUUAGAAAGGUACUCUCGGAACGGUCACCUAGGCCGGUGUUUAUAGGAAAGGAAGGCAUGGAUGUUUGGUAAGACGCGUCCCAUCGGGAGUGUGAAAGGUAAUAAAUAAGGGGGCGUCGCGAAGGACGGUCAAAGGGAUCAUUAAAUGUUCGUACAAGAACUGCCAGCACUUUUACAGGUCACCCAGAAGGGCAUCGAUAGCUGCGAUCGCUCGACGCCGGAUCUGAUCGGCAGAGUCCAGGACCCGUUGGUCAUCCUCUGCCGAUCCGGGGACUUCUAACAUAUGGCGGUGGAGUUUGAGGGCCUCGUGAGCCAGAUGCUGCCUCUCUCGUUUCAGAUCGGCAAUGACAGAAGGGAGUUCCUGAAGCCUCUUCUCUUCGGCGUCUAUUGCUUUGGUCACCUGCUCCAUCUCCUUGGCAAGCUCUGCCCUUCGGCGUUUGAGGCGAUCUAUCGUGCCGACGAUCCCCGGGCGAGAGUCUUCCAGAAAGUGAAUCCGUUGAUGCACCUCUUGAGCUUGACGCUUGUACGUGUCUUCUUCUUCACGAGUUUUGGUCAACUUGACGCGAUCGGCCAUGUGGCGCAGGGCCCUAAAGACUGGAAUCCUCAUUGACUCGAUAUAUGCAGCUGGCGCCAAGGCCUCUUCCGCUUCUUCUGGUACUCGCCCGCUGACGUCACCAAAAAGUUGUUGAAUCAGCGAAGCGUCUUCUACCAAUCGGCCGAUGUCCUCUUGAAGAAGGGAUCGGAUGCUUGCGAGUUUGGCACGGACGUCAUCAGGAACGGAGCUCAAAGUGACCUGGCGAGAGGCGACUUCCUCAUCAUCGGAGAGUGCGACCGCAAACGAGAAAAGGCUGUUGUUGGGGGUGUCCUGUUCCUGAAAAAUAGUGAGUCAAGAAGAAGAACAAAUCAGCCGAUGAUGAUAGCAAAUCGGCUGAGUAAGGGUGAGAAAUCUCUUACCUCCUUGAAACGGAUUUCUUCAAACUGCGUUUGGGAGGCUGUUAUCCUCGAUUCAGGGGCUGGUACCAUUGGUUCGUCAGAAGCUGAAGACUCCACCAUGAUUGGUGCUUUGCUCGGGCCAGCUUCCCGAAAGAUGACCAUUGGUUGGUUAGGUGGGGCGCUAAGCGUACCGGUGACCUGUGUCAAAAGAUUGAAUAAGAAUAUUAUCCAAAUACUAGAAAAAUCGGUUGAAGAGUAGUAUACCUCGGCAGACGGAAGCGUGGGCGUGUUGAUGACCGAUUGGGUUGCUGCCGAUUGUUGUGAGUCCACAGAAGUGAUUUGUGUAGUCUAAAAUAAGAUGAGUCAGUAUAGAGAUGGCAAUCGGUAGGAUCAAACAACAAGUUUACCUGCAUGGCCUCCACCAGUAAUGAUGCAGCGGCCGCCCCAGCUUGCGUGACGACUUGAGUAUCUACUUCUCCAGCAGCUGGAAGGGGCAAUGUGGCCGAAGUUUCUGCCGAUGUGAUCGUAGGAGGGUCGGCCGGUUCUGUACGAGCUCGCACUCGGCGACUGGUCUUCUUGGUAACCUUCUUCUGCGCCUGCUUCGAUCGGCCGGCAAUCACAUCCACGGAAGGGGCAUCGUAGCCGAUAAGGGGGAAGAUGGUGUAUAGGUGAUGGUCCUCUAUCGGCCGGCCACUCCGACUGUGUGUUGGGGGAACGCAGUUUUCAGACUGAAGCAACAGCAAGAUGUUAGUGUACAUAUUUAACCGCAUUAAUAAAGGAAUGAAAAUCAGUUAGGGAAAAAAAAUACCUCGGUGUUCGGAUCGAUGUUGGCUGGAUCCAGGAGGUUGCAGUAUGUCGAUGCGGAGGCACAGAAUAGGUACUGUUUUCAUUCGGCCCACCAUAGCUUGAAUGGUUGGACAACAAAGGGGGCUACUAUCCAGUCAUUCAAGUCUAUGGUACUGGAGUCUGGUAUCCGGUCUCGCAGCCGACUAUAGUCAAGACCCUUGGUGAGCUCAUCUCUGAACUUUGCUCGGCCGACGAAGUAUGCCUGAAUCGGCAGUUGACCCAUGCCGAAUUGCCGAGCUGCAACGGAGGGAUUGUAGAAUUCAUAUGUAGGGGCAUCCUUUCCUGAGAAGAAGUUGGCCGGUAAGAUCCCCGGUUUAAUUAGUUCAUCUGUGAGAUCUUCGUCGAAUCAGCCGGUGGUUGAGUCGAAGCAAGAAGGGAGUUCAAAGAUUGGGUCAUCUCUCCAAUAAGGAAACCAGACGGUUGCAUCUUCAUUGAAGCCGUUAUAAAAACACUGGAAGUAUUCGGCCACCUUGGUAGCAGAGUACGAGCAACCAGAGAAGGCCGAUGCCGCUUCGCCGAAAGACAUACACCGGCGUCGGACAGUGAGAUUCUCUGCCGAUUCGACGCUGGGGAAUGUCAUGUGUUCCACUCGCUGCUGAGAGAUCUCGCUCAUGUACAAGUUCAGCCAUAAGUUAAUGAACCACCAGGGUCCACCUGGGUUUCCAAUUGGCUACCCUUGGGAUAGCUUGAUGCCGAUUUGGUGAAGCAUGUGGUAGGCUGCUCCCAGUAAGUGCUUUCCAAGAGGAACAGAAGUCCCUAUUGAUAAUGCUUCGGCCAGAGCUUGGGUAUUGGUAGAUGGACCAGCUGCUCUCCCACAGAAGAAGUGCUUCUCUAGCCACAUCAUCAGGAAGGCCGUGUGCUCUCUGUUGUCGACAGAUCCGGCCCUUUUGUUGCAUCUGAUGAAACCUUUCCACCUGCCGAUUCCCCUUGUGUCCAGCCGAUGUGAUGUUGCGGUUAUAAGGCGGAAAGGGGUGUCCGGGGAAGAAAUAUCCAGGCCGGUCAGGAAGACUACAUCGGCCAAUGUGGGGGUCAUGGGUCCGUGUCCAAACAGGAAUGCGUUGAGAGCAUUGGACCAGAAGUAAGAAGCUGCCACCACUAAUGGCUCAUUCCGUUCCAUUUGGGACAAAGAUAGAUCGAUGCAUUGGCCAAUUUUGAGCUCGUCCCAUUGGACCUUCUUGGAAGCGGUUAUCCGCUGGUACCAUUCCCUCCAACUGGGAGUUUCGUUCGGCCAAGACCUAAAGGUACUCAACCAGUGAUCUAGGUCCAUAGUUGAUUGUUUGAAGGGGAUCCUAUGGGUUUUCCAAAUUGAUUAAGUCGGUUGGAUCUGGAUUUCCCAUGGGUCCAAGACAGAUAAGGCCGAGGUUUUCUGUGAGACGAAUGGUGAUGCGAUGCCUAACCGCCUAAAAAGGAAAAGGGGGUGCGAGGGUAAGAAAUAGAUCUAAAGUACAUGCAUUACUAAUAAGGGAAAGUUUCGGUAAUGACCUCCGGGAUGAAGCUCCUCGUAAUCGGCGGAGUCGCCGGUGCAGCUGCAGACGAUGAAGCUGCCAAUGGGAUCUCGGAUGAAGCUUCAACUUUCGCCAAUGGAGCUCCUUCUUCCGUCGAUGGAGCCGUCGUUAUCGCUACUGGAACCUCCGCCGAAGGCACCAUUUCUGGAGCUUCGCGCAUUGGUGAGGUGCCUGAAGGUGCCGCCAUUGGAAAAGUAGGAGGCAAUGCGAAAGGAAGGAGGCGCUGGAGAAUUGGUGGACUAAGGAAAGUGUUGGAGGAAGAAGAAAGCCUGUGCACUGAAGAAGAUGGACAUGAGCUCGUAAGGAGUACGGGAUGUGCUGAUAUUUAAAGAACGUCUGAGAAGGGGUAAAAGUGGAAUUUUUACCGCGCUGGCGUUUUGAGUUUUUCGGGAGUAGUGGUUGUCGUGGGCACCCGUUUCGAAAAGAUUGCAAUCAUCAGGUUGGAGACCGCGAAAUGGAAGGAUGUUUUCAUUGCGUCUGUUUCGGAUGAGAAGUUGAAAAGAAUUUUGAAGUAAAGACUAUGUUUUACUCCGAAACUGGGAGGCAUGUGUUGACGCCAGAUUUUGACACGAGUAAAAUCGGCGUUAGAAAUGGAAUAAAUUAGGAGAUGCGGCGAGAUACAAGGGCGACGAUUGGAAAUCGGCCGAUUGGUGCUACAGUCAAGGAUCGGUUGGUUGGUGCUGCAGUCAAGGAUCGGCCAAUUGAUGCUACAGAUGAGGAUCGACCGAUUGAUCCUUGGAGUUCCGCCUCGCCCAACCCCUGGUUUGGGAUCGGACGCGCCCGACCCUCCAAGGGAGGAUCUCCGCCUCGCCCGACCCCUGGUUUGGGAUCGGACGCGCCCGACCCUCCAAGGGAGGAUCUCCGCCUCGCCCGACCCCUGAGGUUUGGGAUCGGACGCGCCCGACCCUCCAAAGGAGGAUCUCCGCCUCGUCCGACCUUAGUUCCCAGGGUCGAAAUGAGUCUGAGCCCUCGAUAUGUGGGUCCUGAUCGGUUACCCCCUUGCCAAAGAGGUGAUCGGCCGAUUAGGAGGUUGGAAUAGUUGGGCCGAUGUGGGCUCAAGAAGGAUUAUGAAGAUGAAGAGGGGGUCAGCCCAUGAAGCGCGUGAAAAUAGUACGAAUCGUACUUGUAAAUAUUCGUUUUCUGUUUAAAUUUAGGGAUAGAGUUCUAGUCGGAUAAGAAGUCGUUCGUACGGGGCUAUAAAUAGCCACCGUUGUAGAUCUGUAAUCAUCAUCAACUCAAUACAACAAACUACUAUUUCCUCGUACUUACUUUCAAGCAGGCGACUUUACCAACACUUUUUCUCCUUUUUCACGAGUUCAUACGGGUUGGCGGGGCUGCAUCAACUUGACCUCCGGCCGAUCUUGUAAGUUCCGUUUAUCGACUAAAUUCUAAGCUUUAACUUCGGGCGCAUCGCUGUCGUUUCGUUUAGAUUUAUUCAUCAGUUAUCGAUAUUUACUAGAAUUCUAGGUUUUACCUGUUGUUCUAGUUUUAUCACCAAUUAUCCAGCUAGGAAUCGGUAAAUUCGGCUUUCUUUAUACUUCUCUGUCUAAUCUAUUUAUUUUAGCCGAUUAGAUCUGUUCCUAGUGUUGCUACUGUAGCGUUGUUUAGAUUACUCUAGCAGUUUUCUUUAUAAACGUUACCUGGUAAUCGGUUGCACUAUAGCCGAUUUCCUUAUUACGGCAAAUCGGCCGAUUCGCUGAUAAGCUUUCUUGAGACCGGAACCUUAGCCGAUCGCAACCUCUGGGAACUGACAUGUUUAUUUCCUUGCCAAUCAACAGGUCAGAUUGGCUGGCACGCCGCGCGAACCGCACCAGGGCAAUCACCCGAACAGGAGUUAAGCAGAUUCUCCCGGGUCGUGUGUCCGACGCUGGAAAUUCGGUCAGCUGAUUUCUAGCGCCAACAGGCUCAUUUAUGUCGCCUGACACGCGAAUAUGCACUUUAACCAAGUCAACCUGGUCGACCGUCGGAUUUCAUCCGAUGAACCACUUACACAGGAUCAAGAAGCAUCGCUCAAACGAAGGUGAGUAGCACAGAGGUUACAACAUUCCAUUAUGACAACUUAGUUCCACAAUUUAUUACAUCAGAGUUUCAGAAAUUCAAACAAGUUGCAAGGUUCGAAAAGUCGGAUAAAACAAGCGAAAACUAAACGUCGAUACAGGAUAUCAUGACGAAGUUGAUCAUGACAUCAAAAAUCCCUACCCUCACCGUCCGAGGAGGGAUCCCACUCGAUUGUCCAGCCCGGAGGGAGCUGGGUAGGCCAAGUGGUGCCAGCAACCAAACUAUUGACAUGACCUGAAAAGAUUAAGCCAUAACAAGGCUGAGCAACUAAUACUCAGCAAGACUGACCCGUCGAGUGAAAAGCUUUACCAAGACCUAGACAUGCAAGGCUUUCUGGCUCUGGGAUUACUUUGCCAAAAGCAUCUACAGUCGGUCCUUACUUUCAAUAUUUUAGCUUAAGUUCUACGUUCUUUAACCAGUCUAGAUUAGCAACUUAUACUAAACAAGCAUAAUUUCCAAGUAGUUAAAUAACAAGCAUCAACUUAAUCUCAUAAUCAUGUUUCAUCGUUACUCAGUGCAGAAUAGCGAUCAAGUAGUCCCAAACUGUGAGAGACAGAUGAAUCGAUUCGAAUUUAUUAACCAUGCAUGGCGAACCUAAUCUCACGACAUCCGCGCACCACGAAGGGUCGCUUCAUUUGUCAGCCGUCCCCAUCGAUCCCUUAGGCACGUGUCAGGGCCAAACUGCCUUUGGCGUGCAAUGCUCCACAGUCCCGACCUCUGUCGUACUGUGACCGCCACUGCACCCACAUGAUGCACCAUGGGAACGACGUUCCAAGGACAGCAGGAGUAUAAGCCACGUCCCAGUUCAGUCAGGUACUAGGCUUCCCCAUCCCAGACUAGGUAUGAGAUUAGUACUUUCAAACACUUGAUCACGAACGCUGACACGUUUCAACCUUAGAUCAAUUUCCUUUAGACAGACGGGGAAAACCACCAAGUAUCGAACAUAAGCCCGACCCCGUCCGUCAUCCUUAUAGUUGCAACAUAAAUAAACAUUCAACUCCUAUAACUCGCGAGUGAUAGGAAAUCACUCGACUUUUACUGAAACCUAAUAAGCAUUGCAACUACUCGACUUUAGCAACUAGUAUUCAAACAAGGUACUAAGUUCAUGCAUCUACGGUUUCAAUCAACUCCUACACACGUAAAUGCGCAAACAUAAACAUCAACAUGUUGCAUAAAGUAAAACAGGGAAGUCAUGCACCGGGGCUUGCCGUCAGGAAGAGUUAGCGGGUCCUCGGGGUCUUGAUCCGGCUCAGGCUCGCCUUCCAAGUGGUGAAGCUCCGCAGCGGGGUCUUCCUCCGGUGUCGGGUGGAGCUCGUAGGUUCCAUCGGCGAGAUUUGCUUCUAUACGACAUGCAUAUGCAAAAGUUUAGUUGGACUCACGCGUUUAUUCAACGACACAAGGCUUGGCUUAAGACAAGGAGUUGCAACAGCCACAUUCACUUUGACGAGGUUCAACUUUCAUGCAACUUCAAACGAAUGUGGUCGGUUUAAACUUGAGUUCGAGUUGAAUGGCGAUUGUGUACAUAUAUAGUUUUCUUACACUUAGAGUUGCAUAAAGAGAAUGAAAGGUCGUGUUUGGGUGGUUUGGGUGCAUUAGGAUAGUUACUUACUUCUGAAUGUUUUUAUGUACCUCUUUCAAUUUCCACUUAUUUAUCGUAUUAGAAUUUGUGCUUUCCUUUUAUUCCUUUAGGUUGAUUAAUUAACCAAAAUGACUUCAUAUCCAAACAGCAGCUAAAGGCACUGAUAAAAUUACAACACCUCACUUAAGCCAUAGCUGGGUUACUCUAAAAUUUUGGGGGCCAUUGGAUGACUUAAAAAGGAAUUACAUGCAUUUUAUUAUUAAAGGUAAAAUGAGCUUAACUUUUUCUAUCUUCAAAGUUACUAUGCAACAGAGGGUGAAACUUAACCAGUGUGUUAAGGGUAUGUUACAGGAUCUUUGGCGAAUUUUUCAUAAUUUUUGAAGAAGGUUAACUAUUUACUCUAUUUCCUUUUUAAUUAAACAUGCUUAGCAAGGAAGGUGUUUUUUCUUUCCGAAUUGCACAACAAUUUACAUUUUUCCUGCAAACUUCACAGCAAAACAAAAUUAACCCAACUAGUUUCACAUUUUUUUGAGCUCUGGAUCAAAACGUAUGCAAAAAGGAAGAAUUAAUCUUAGAUUCCCAAAUUAAAGUCAAAACAAUGACUUAAAGUGCUAGACCAGAGCCCUAACCAUUUUUCUGAGCUUCUACACAUAGAAACAAGCAUCACAGAGUUGGUUUUACAUUUUUCCCACUUUUCUUCUAUUUAAUAGGAUUAAAAAGGCCUAAACCAUGAUUAAAAGCAUAUGAUAUUAUUUACAACAGUAACAUGAGCAAACUUAUUUUUCUUAGGAACUAGAUAGAGCAAGGAUUCCAACAAAAGUGGUUUGGUAUUUUUAUGAUUUUUCUACGAUUUACUGGGCAUUUACAAAGUUCAACCAUAUUUCUACCUAUUAUUUAAAAGAAAAGCCGUGGCAAACUUGCAGGUUAGCCCCUGGGUCUAUGGGUUAACUACGCAGAGGUCCCUGAGUUUUGCGCCCAGGCCCCUGGAAAGAAUGGGGAUGAUGCAAUGUAGUCCCCAGGGCGCGCGCGGCGGCGGCGAGGAAAUCCCCGGCGGUUCGUCGGCGGGGAUGGGGCAACAAGUGGUCGGAGGGGUGCGGGGGCUCACCUGAGCUCGGUUUGGUGGGGUUGGGGCGACGGAGAUGGUCGGUAGGGAUCAAAACACGGCGGCGGCGACAGAGCUUGGCUGGUGGCGGUGCAGGCGUCGUUCCGGCGCACUGGCGGCGUCGGGGAGGCCACGGGCUGCUCGGAGACGUGCGCGGAGGGGGGGCGAAGUGGGCGGCGAAGUUGCCGGAGUACGGGGUGGCGCGGAGGGGUGAGCUCCACGGGAGCUUAGCGGCGGCGCUGAGAAGGAAGCAGAGGCGUGGUUGCGAGCGGUGGCAAAGGGUGGCAUUGCCGGUGAGGGGGACCCUUUUAUAGGGCAGCGGUGGAGCGGAGGGUCGAGGUGGGGCUCCGGUGGAGGAAGGAUAAGGCCGGGAGCGGUGCGUGCGCGAGCGAGGCGGCCAUUGGCCAGCGGUGCCAUUGGGCAGGGGAGGCGGAGCUCCGGGUGGUCUCUGGCCGCGAUUGGCCUCGAGCGAUGCGUGUCUGAGGCCUCCGGUCUGUCGGCGGGCGAAGCGGAGGGCCACCGCGGGGGUUGGGCGAGCGGGCGGAGGCGCGGGACGUCGUUGGCGUGGUGGCUUCUCCAGCGGGUGGGCGAAGCGCGGUUGGGCAGAGCAGAGCCGCGGCAGAGGGAAGGGCACGCGCGCGGCCGACGGUUGGCCAGCCCGGCGUUCGCCCCGUCUUGUCGCAGGCGCGGGUUGGGCGCCGUGGCUCUCACCUUAUCGUUGUCUCGCCGGGGAUAGGGCGCCGGUGAGCUGCCGGUGGCCAGCGGCCACGAGGCACGCGGUGCGCGGGCGAACAUGCCCUGGCGCGCGGGCGUUGAGGCCCCUUCGGGCAGUAAGCCCGACCAGCUUUGAGAGAUCCUAUCUCAAGAUUUUGCAACACAACUUCCAAAACUCUUCUAAACAAACUUGUUCAACUCUGGACGUAGUUCAAACUUGGUUUAAGGUGCUGGUUUAGAUUGUGAAAGGAUUUGGAGAUAUCUCAUGCCAAAGUUUGCCAAAAAUAUGGAAAUCCAGACUUAGCCAAUUUUGGCCGGAGAGGUGGAAUUUCAGGAACUUAGCUAUGUUUGAGUCAACUUUAGGGCAGCUUCCAAGUUGAAUUAGACAGAAGUGUUAAUAGAGGAGUUGCUCUCCAAACUGAGGACUUCAACUUCUAUUUAGGGUAUUUCUGGAGUUUAGUUCAGAAAUUUGGAGGAACGCCCUCGCCAAGAGGUGCACUCUGAGCAGUUUUCCAGACUUAGCGUUGUGGUGCUCAGGGGCUGAGUUGACUGCUUUGCUCAACUUUGACCAAGAUUUUGAACAGGUUCUGGUUCGAUUUGGACCUGGGUCAUUGUAACAAACUUGGAAAACACUUGAGGUAUUACAACCUUUAUUAAGAGCCUGACUUGAGUUUAGAUAUGAAAUCGUGAGAUAAAGGCUUGCAAAGUUGGAGGAAAACUUGAAUUCCACGACUUGGAGGUUUAUAGGGUUCUUUAUUAUUCCGGUUUUGAUUCCUGUUUUUGACUUCCUCCCACUCCGAAUUAGCCAAAGUGACUUUAACAAAUAUUGUUUGAAAUUAAAAGUGUUACAACUCUUAUUUGGGCAAAAUUUUAAGUUUGUAUAUAAAAUCUCAAGUUUUAUUUUAAACUCCAUAAAGAGCUUCUUAGGGUUAAAAUGGUCAUUUCACUUCCUUUACUUAGUGAUUAACCACUGGUUUAUAUUUAAAGCACUUAAUUUAGGUAGAGUUGUUACAAGUAUCCACUCACUACUUUACCAAAUGGGUGCAGGCAGUCCCUCUGAAGACCGUGACGUUGGCCGUCAUGAUUGAAUUCAUAAGCGAGCACAUUAUCUAUUGGUUUGGUAUUCCUCAGACUGUUACGACCGAUCAGAGAACAAUGUUUACUUCAGGAGAGUUUGAGGAGUUCACUUCCGAUAUGGAAAUUAAGUUGUUAAAUUCUUCUCCAUAUUACGUUCAAGCUAAUGGUCAGACCGAAUCGUCCAAUAAAGGGAUAAUCAAGUGUAUCAAGAGGAAGGUAGAGGAGCAACCAAAGAGAUGGCACAUGACUUUAAGCGAGUCUUUGUGGGCCUACAGGAUGGCCUGCCACGGCGCUACUAAGGUGUCUCCUUAUCAAUUAGUGUAUGGAUAUGAGGCGGUGCUCCCUUAGGAAUUGAGGAUGGGGUCUAGACGCACGUCGAUUCAAGAUUAGUUGACAGCCGACGAUUAUUCUCUCCUUAUGAAAGGGGAGCUUGAGGAUUUGGUGGGUCAACGAUUGAGGGCCUUGAUCAGUAUUGAAGAGAAUAAGAAAAGACUUGCCAAGUGGUAUGACAAGAAGGUCAAGGUCAAGCAGUUCUCGCAAGGGGAUUUGGUAUGGAAAUUGGUAUUGCCGAUAGGGUCUAACCAUCCCAAAUACGGCUAGUGGUCGCCUACUUGGGAAGGGUCGUAUAAAUCGAUCGAUAUGUGCCAGGAAAUGCAUACGUAUUAGAGACCAUCGAGGGAGAGGAAUUUACAAGAGCCUUAAAUGGGAGAUAUUUGAAAAGAUACUAUCCCAGCAUAUGAGUGGACGCGUAGCCGAUGAUAUAGUGUAUCGAGUCGUUAUGGCCGAUUCCUAUUGACUCGUGUUUAUAUAGCCGAUGCAGGGAGGCAUCGCCUUGAGGACGAAACCUCUAAUCAAAUUGGCCGAUUAUUAUUCGGUACGGUGAUUGGAUACAUGGCCAACAUGGUACAAGUCGCCCUUAGACCAAAAGUACCAAUACAUCUAUCGGGUUACAAUAUGAUUAACUGCAUUUCAACUGGGCUUUGUUUUUAUUGAUCUCUCUUUGGACCCGGCCUAGUUCUAUUAAGAGACGGGUGCUCUUUUCCUCCCUAUCCGCCAUGGCAUCUUUGAGAGCGACCUGGCAGGGUAGCUGAUGACUCCUCUCAAUUGGCGGCUGAGGUGGCUCCCUGGAGCUGUUGGCUUCGAUGUGAUCCACGAUCUUCUUAAUGUGGGUCGGAAGAUGGUCUUUAAGCUCCUCACGGUGGGCUUUGAUCAGGUCUUGGUCCACCUGCAUCAGUGGUUCCUCAGAGUGCAUAAUUUCGAUAACUCGCUCAAGAUCAGGGCUGAGCCGGGUCGGCUGGACAAACAGCGGGCAAUCAGUUGUCGAAAAGAAUUGGUCAAGGAGCGCAAGGCUGAUCUCAUACCUCAUUGACGGGGGAAGAAGAAGACAUCUUGGCGCCCGGUUAGGGAUCUGAAAAUGGUCGAGCAGAGUGUAGAAGGAUGGAUGAGAUACGAGUGCCUCUGGGAGGAAUGUAGGGACCCCAUAUUUAUAGGAGAAAAGGUAAGGGGCAACGGUUGGCAAAGGCAUCUAUUCAAAGCAGAUGAAUGUUGAGCUAAAAGCUGCGAAGAGGAAACGUUCAAGUCCGUAUUCACACAAUGAUGGCAAAAGGGGCAUUAAAUGUUUGUGCAGAGGUGUUCAAAAGAUAAUUCAAUGUUUUGAUACAUUCAUUCAAGAAGAAUAUUAAUGGCCGCGAUUGCCUACUGGCGGAUCUGAUCCGCUGAAUCUAGAACUCGUUGGACAUCUUCGGCUGAUCCAAGAAUUUCUAGCAUGUUGCGAUGAAGCCGGAUGGCCUCAUGCGCAAGGGUUUGCCUCUCCUGCUUCAGAUCAGCGAUGACGGUCGUGAGAUCAUGAAGAUUAUUCUUUUUGGCGGUUAUAGCCUUUGUCACCUACUCCAUCUCCUUGGCAAUCUCUGCCCUAUGCUAUUUGAGACGGUCUAUUGUGCCGACGAUGUCUGGGCGAGAAUUUUCGAGUACGCCGAUUCGGUGAUGUACCUCUUGAGCUCGGUGUUUGUAGGAAUCCUUCUCUUCACAUGGCUUUGCCAGCUUGGCAUGAACGGCCAUGUGCCGCAGGGCUCUGAACACCGGGAUUUGCAUUGACUCGAUGUAUGUAGGAGGUGCAAGAGCUUUUUCUACAUCCUUCAGGACUCGGCCUUUUAUUUCGCUGAAGAUUUGCCAAAUCGGCGAAGCGUCUUCCACCAAUCGGCCGAUGUCAUCUUGAAGAAGUGCUCGGAUUCUCUGGAGCUUUGCACGUACUUCUUCCGAAAUUGAACCUGGAGCCACUUGUCGAGAGGCUACCUCUUCAUCAUCAGAAACAGCGAUCGCAAAUGAAAAGAGGCUGUUAUUGGGCGUAUCUUGUUCCUAUAAAAGUAAGAGAGGAAGGAACGGAUUAGCCGACAGUAGUGGGAAAUCGGUCGGAUUGGAUGUCGAAGGCCCUUACCUGUUUAAAAUGAAUUUUCUUCUGUUUGUGUUUGGGGGAUUGCUACCCUUGUCUCAGGAAUCAGCAUGGUUGGCUCGUCAGAAGAAGAAGACUCGACGGUGAUCGACGUUGUGUUUGGACCGGCUUCCUGAAAGUAACAAAAGGAGAGUCUCUAUAAGUAUGAAGCAAUAGUUAGAUCUAAGGAUGAGUACCAGUUACUUUACCUCUGUGAGUCGUCCGGCCGAUGACUGUUGGAAAGGUAUGAUUGAUGUACCCAGAGUGGCCUACAUUAGAAAUCGGUCAUUUUUGACUAAGGAAUAAGAGACUUGAGUAAGAUGUAUGUUCUUUACCUCAGCUGCAAGGAUUGCUGGUGGUUCGGUCUCUGCUUGGGAUGCGACCGAUUGCUGUGAGGUUUGCUCCGAAAGAAUUUGCGCAGCCUAACAAAAAGUGGAAAUUAAUACUGAUAGUAUACUUGGAGAAAUGUGAAGCAUAUAAAGUUACCUGAACAUCUUUUACCAAUAAGGAUGCAGCUGCUGAUCCGGCUUCCGUAGCGGCUUGGGGGUCGACCUCCUGGGCGAUCGGCAGAGUUGGUGUGGCUGAAGACUCGGCUGGUGGCACCGCCGAUUGAUCGGCCGGUUCUAUACGGGCGCGCACCCGGCGGCUUGUCUUCUUUGAAGAGGAUAUCUUCAUCUUCUGCUUCAAUCGGCCUGUGAUGAUAUCUUCGAUUGACGGGGACUGAAAGCCGAUGAUUGGAAAUGAAGUAUAUGGGUGGCGAUUCUCUAUCGGCCUGCCACUACAGUUGUGCGUUGGAGAGAGUUGGCUUUCAGACGACAAGAAAUGAGGGAAAUCAGUGGUAAUACUGUAAGAGUACGGUGUCAAAUCGGCCAGAAGGAUUGGUACCUCUGCAUUCGGAUCAAUGUUAGCGGGGUCCAGAUCAUUACAAUAUGUUGUAGGAGAUGUGCAGAAGAGGUGUUGUUUCCACUCACCCCACCAUAGCUUGAAUUGUUGGACAGCGAAGGGGGCCACAACCCAGUUGGCCAAUUCGAUGGUACUGGAAUCCGGCGUCAAGCUGCACAGCUGAUUGUAUUCAAGACCUUUAGAGAGCUCCUCCCGACACUUAACGCGGCCGGCAAAAUAAAUCUUAAUCGGCAUUUGUCUGAGGCCGAAUUGCCGCGCUGCCACUGAUGGGUUGUAGAAUUCAUAGGUUGGGGAGUCUUUUCCUGAGAAGAAGUUUGCUGGUAGGAUCCCAGGCUUGAUCAAAGUAUCCAUAAGCUCAUUAUCGAAGUAAUUGAUGGUUGAAUUGAAGCAGUCGGGGUUUUCAAAGAGUGGCUCAAUUCUCUGAUAUGGGUACCAGCUUGUAGUUUCUUCAUUGAAGCCGAUAUAGAAGCAUCUGAAAUACUCAGUUGUAUUUGUGGGGGUAAACUUGCUGCCAGGAGAAGCUGACGCUACCUCGCCAAGGAAGUGCAACGCCGUCUUAAUGUUGGGUUAUCCUCUGAUUCAAUAUUGGGGAAUGUCUUGGUCUCAACUCGUUCCCUGGAGAUCUUGCUCAUGUAUAAGUUGAGCCAGAUGGUGAUAAACCACCAGGGGCCACCAGAGUUCCCAAUCGGCUCUCCGGAUGACAGCUUGACUGCGAUUUGGUGCAUCAUAUGAUGAGCCAAUCCUAGCAGGUGUUUUCCUAAGGGGAUAGUAGAACCUUUUGCUAGGGCCUCGACCAGAGCCUGUGUAUUGGAGGAGGGGCCAACUGCUUUGCCACAGAAGAAGUGCUUCUCUAACCACAUCAUCAGGAAAGCUGUGUAUUCUCUAUCGCCGAUAGGACCGGUCUUCAUAUUUUUAUCAAUAUAGCAUUUCCACCUGCCGAUUCCCUUUGUUUCCAGGCGAUGGGUUGGUUUGAUCAGGAAAUUGAAGGGCAAGUCGGGGGAAGAGAUGUCAAGACCGGUCAGCAUCAGGACGUCGGCCAAAGUAGGGGUCAUGGGCCCAUGUCCAAAAAGGAAAACAUUGAGAGCGUCAGACCAGAAAUAAGAAGCUGCCAUGACCAAAGGUUCAUUCUUCUCCAUUUGAGACAGAUAUAAGUUUAUGCAUUGGCCGAUUUUUAGUUCAUCCCAAAGAACCCUCUAAGAAUUGGACAUCCUUUGAAACCACUCUUUCCAGCCAAGGGUUUCGUUCGGCCAAGAUCUAAAUGCACCUGUCCACUGGCUUAAAUCCAUUGGUGACUGCUUGAAAGGGAUCAUGUGGGUUUCCAGGUUGAUCAAUUCAGUGGGAUCUAGAUUCCCCAUGGGGCUAAGACCGACGAGGCCGGGUGCGUCAGAAACAGGGAUGGUGAUUUGCUGCCUAAGUUCCUAAAAAGGAUACAAAAGGAGAACUAAGAACAGAUCUAAAAGAUGCGUGAAUGGUGAAAAGUAAAAGUAAAAACUUUGGGAUAUUUACCUCUGGAAUGAAAGCCAUAGUCGCCUAUGGAGCCGCUAUUGGAGUAAACAGAAUAGGAUGGACGGAAGAUGAAGGAGGAAUCACCGUAGGAAUGCAGUUGGAAGAUGAAAGGGUGCCGAAAUGCGAUGGAAGAUGAUUCGCCGGGGAAAAAAGAGUUUCCCAGCUUGUGGAGAAGAAGCGGCGGAGAAUGCAAAUAUUUAAAGAUGGUUCGAGAGAAGGGUAAAGGUGGGAUUUUACCGCGCUGUCUGCACAAAUUUCGGGAAGAGCGGUUGCCUGCGAGCGCCUAGCUCGAAAAUUGUGAUCAUCAGAGAGAAGACCGCAGAACAGAAAGGAGCUUUCGCCGUGCCCGCCUCGGAGGAUGAGUUAGAGUUGAAAAAAAUUUGAAGCAAAAAGUUUCACUCUGAAACUUGGGGGCAUGUGUUGACGCCGGAUUUUGACACGUACUUGAAAUCGGCGUCAAAGAAGGAGAAAGGGGGGCCGAUGCGGCGGACUAGAAGCUACAGUUGGGAAUCGGCCGAUUGAAGCUACAGUGUUUCAGCCGAUUGGUGGAAGAAAUCGGUGGAGGCUGGCCGAUUGAGAGCCAAAGCAGUUUGGCCGGUUUGGGCCUAAGGUGGACCAGGAUGAAGAUUUGCUGAAGAGACAGGCCCGUGGGAAAAUAAUAACCAACUCGAAUAUGAGUCGUGUUUGUAACUAUUUGUUGUCGUUUGAAAUUAGAGAUAGAUUCUAGUCGGUUAUGAAAUCAGUUGCAACAGGCAAUAAUAGCUGCCUCGAGAGGCUUGUAAAAAAAUAACACACAAUCAAUAAAACAAAUUUACUCUUUCCUCGUACUUUACUUUCAAGUCGGCGACUUCGCCAAAACCUUUUUCUUUCACGAGUUCGUACGGAUUGGCAGGGCUGCAUCUACAUGAUCUCCGACCGAUUCUGUAAGUUCCGCUUAUCGAGUAAUAUCUAAGCUUUAACUUCGGGCGCAUCGCUGUUGUUUCAUUUAGAUUUAUUCACUAGUUAUCGAUAUCAACUACAGUCAUAGGUUUUACCUGUUAUUUUAGUUUUUAUCACCAAUUAUCCAGCUUGAGGUACGAGCUAUCGGCUUCUAUUAUUUUUAUCCUUUAUCAUCACAUAGCUGAUUAGAUCUACUCCAAGUGUUGCUUUUGUAGUGUUGUUUAGGUUGCUCUAGAAGUUUUCCUUACGAUUGCUACGUGAGUAUCGGCUGUCUUAUAGCCGGUCAUCUCUAUAGUAAAUCGGCCGAUUCGCUAAUACGCUCUUCAAGACAGAUCGGAACUCUAGCCGAUCGAAACCCCUAAAAUUUAAUAUUCUUCUUUCCUUUGUCAAUCAACAGGUCAGAUUGACUGGCACGCCGCGCGAACCGCACCAGGGCAAUAACCUGAACAGGAGCUAAGCAGAUUCUCCCGGGUCGUGUGUCCGACGCUGAGGGUCAUCGGCCAAUUUUCAGGGCCAACAACAGCUUUUGGGCAAAAGCAUAUAGGACUUUUAGGGGGUGUUUGGCAUGGCUCUAGAGCUGAACUCCGGUAACUCCAGCCAAUUUUCCAGCCAAACACCCUAGCUCCAAAACUCCAUGGAGCUGCAGUGCAAAUGGGAUGGAGUUUUGGCGCACCUCUUUUGUAGCUCCAAAACCACCUAAUAUGAACCUCCUCGUGGAGUUGGUGGGUAAUUAACCAUCAAUGCCACUGAUUAAAAUAAAAAUGAUUCACUUCUAUUUUCUCUCGAGACCCCUCCCCGCGCCGCCCGAGGCCUCCUGAUGCCGCUCUCCUGCGCCGCCGCCUAGCGCCGCCGACAGCUGCUGUCGCCGUCCGUGCCCCGCGUCCUGCGGGCUACCGCCUCGCCAUCCCCAUGAGCCCCCUGCACCGCCGUCAGAGCCGCCAGCCGAGCCGCUGCGGCCGGGUUUCCGCCGUCUUGCCGCCUCUUUCCUCAACUGGAGUGAGCCAUCAGCAGCAGCAGAUUCCCCUCGGCGAGCCACGCCCGUUUCGCCGGUUCCGUUGUCACCCUGCUGCCGGAGUGCCGCCGCCACCGUGAAAACCGCCCGCCCCCCGAUCUCCACCACCACGCUGACCACCUCCGUCCAUGCCCUCCGCCGGUGAGCACACCCGUAGAUUCCCCUCGACCCCCUCUUCCUCUUGCGCCACCUGCCCAAAACACCACCUCGCCGGAGCGCCAGCAAGCUAGCUGGCCAGAGCCCCGGUGAGAGGAGGAAGAAGGAACCUGGCUCUUUUGUGAUUGGGUCCUUGAGGAAAGCUAAAAUCUUUUGCUCUGUUCCUUGCUCCCGGCGAGAGGAGGAAGAAUAGUGGGCUUCUGUGGUGGAGGGCGAGAUCGAACCAGGAGUCAGAAUGUCAAUCUACCCUCAAACUCCUCUUUUCUGGAGUUGGGAACACCCUCCCAACCAAACACCUUCAUCAGACAGCAGGUUGAAAAGAGGCACAUGAGGCUCAGCCGCUUAGGCCCACGGGCAAAAAAAAAAAACUCUUACUUUAUGGCGGAGUAGUUGCUGUUCCAGUGUGCAGGUAAAUUGUCGCAAAUGCCCUCUUGUGGUCGCGUUGCAGUAGCCGAUAAGGCGUCCAAACGUGAGGUGCACACACCUGAUCUGAUCCUCUCAGUGGAAACGGGCCAGGUCCAUGCAACCCAGGACAGGAAGGCUCUAUACCUGGGCCGAACGGUAGCCCAAGAGGCCGACAGUAAGUGAGCUCACGGGUGACGAACGGCCCAGAAGCCGCCCCAAUCCGGCCACCGCCACUGAGCCGGCUCGACUAAACCGGAUCGCCACGCAGCCCGACCGCGCAGGCGUACUUCCCGAACUACCCCCGGAGAUUAUCCAAUCGGACGGCCAAGCGCCACGCACUGCCAAAGAAUUCCCCGAAAUGACCCUACUCUUCCCUUUGCCUCCCUCGCGUGCCGCCGGUUCUGCUCGACCGGACCAGCGGUUCAGGCGCCGAAUAUUCGCCCGCGGAUAUUUCUUGCCCGGUGCGUCAACUCCGCCGCUAUAAAUACCCUCAUAGGGCGGCCGCUAGGGUUUUAGUGCUUCUCUCCCGGCGGCGCCUCCACAUAUCGUCUCUCAGAUCGGGAGGCGAAACCAAGGUGACUGACCUCAUCCCCUUUCUCCUCCCUCCGUCUCUGGUUGCUAUAGCUAUUUCAUCCAUGCGCUGUCCUUAUAGCUGAUUAGUAUUUUUACUAGUGGAGUUCGAGUCGUUUUGGUUCCAUUCAGUAGUGCUUGUGUUGAUUGGAUUGAAUCGGAGGACUCGAAGUGGUUUGUGCUGCUCGAAUCGUAAGUUUGUUGGGCUAAUCUCGAUGGAAUUUAUGUCAAUUCGUUGGUUUAGUGGUCCUUGGCAGUUCUCUCUGUGAUAGGCCCGUCCGAUCUGUAGAGAUGCGGUGGAAUCCUGGUUUACUCAAAACGGUUCUAGAUUCCUCUGUUCUUCCCUUAUUUUUUGUUUCGAUUACUUAGUUUGCACGUUAGGGGCCUAUGAAGUUUAUGUGCUCGGAUCCUUUAGUGAAACUGAUCUGUUUACUCAGAUGUGCUCGGAUCCUUCAGUGAAACUGAUCUGUUUACUCAGAUCUGCUGGUAGCUAACAGGUUCAGGGUAGUUAUGUUGAUGGUCUAGUUUUGGUAGUUUCAUUGUCGAUUUCUGUCCAUUUUUGUCAUGUUCUGUCCAUAAAAAUACUAUCUGUGCUUCUUCAUAUCUUGUAAUAUGAAUUCAUUUGACAAACUAUGCAUUUCUUUUAGAGUGUUUGUCUAAAUUAAUCUUCUGGUAUAUCCCUAUGCCAGUCUGUUAAUAUGUCUGUAUUAUAGUGUUUUGUUUGAGGUGGUAAUGUACAUGGUGCACCCUGCAGUUUUUCAUGUCUAAUAUUGAAUCUCCUUGUUUGCUGUAUGUAUUAAGGAUUAGUUUCACUUCAAAUAGCUUACUGCUGAUGCUUUCUUGUUUGUUUAAUAUGCUGUGUAAUCAUGUUGACCCUGAGGUUUGUAAGAAUUCCUCUUAUUUGAUUAUUGCAUGGAUUAGUGUCCUGAAGGAUAUGGCUCCUUUGUACAAUUAAGAUAAUUCACUUUUUUUUCUCAACUUUUAUAUGCUUACUAGCCCAUUAGGUUGUGUAAACAUUAGAGUGCUUUAGCCUGGUAAAGAUGAGUUAAGCAUUUUAAAUAAAUUUUUGGAUUUGGUUGAUAUCAUCCUUAACACCUGCAUUUAAACAAUUUGUCUCUUUUGAUCCUGACUAUUACAGUGGGUGUUACUUUCUUUAGUCAUUCUGUGGUAUCAAAGUUUCUGGUGUAGUUGUGUAAUUAUGGUUUUGGUUGGAUUCUUACUAGUAUUUUCUACCUUUAAACAGCAGGAAAUUAUAUACAUAUUUGUAGUGUGAUCUUCAUAAGAAGUCAAGAUGGUGAAGUUCACAGCGGAAGAGCUCCGUGCCAUCAUGGACAAAAAGAACAACAUUCGUAAUAUGUCCGUUAUUGCUCAUGUGGACCACGGUAUGUUAAGAACAGUGUUUAAUUAAAUGUUAUGCAUACCUGUUCCUCGACAUUUUUCAGGCUUUUCAAUUUUAGCAAUUGUUUUUUUUCAGUAUUAAAUCUCUGAAUUGUUCUUGCCAGUGAAUGCGAUUCAUGCUGCGUUAGCUAUCACAGACCUAUUUUACAUAUGUAGAAAUAUUCAUUUCAUGUUGGAAAUAGGCUUAUUGUUCUUUUGUAAUUAAUGUAUUGGUUUAUCUCUAGAUAUUGCAGUGUAUAGUAUCUGUUUACUAUGUGUUUUAUAUUGGGAUGUAUUGUUGUCUUUGUUAACUUGUGAGAGGUUGUCUAUCCCUAAUGUUGUACUAUUCUUGAUGCAUCUUCGGACUGACUUUUAAGUUCCACACUAUAGUCUUACAUCUCAUUAAUUCUUUGCAGGCAAGUCUACCCUUACAGAUUCCCUUGUGGCAGCUGCUGGGAUUAUUGCCCAGGAAGUUGCUGGUGAUGUCCGCAUGACUGAUACACGUGCAGAUGAAGCAGAGCGUGGUAUUACAAUCAAAUCCACCGGUAUUUCUCUGUACUAUGAGAUGACUGAUGAGUCACUGAAGAGUUACAAGGGUGAGAGAGAUGGUAACCAGUACUUGAUCAACCUUAUCGACUCACCUGGGCACGUUGAUUUUUCUUCGGAAGUCACAGCUGCCCUUCGUAUCACCGAUGGUGCUCUAGUGGUGGUUGACUGUAUUGAAGGUGUCUGUGUGCAAACUGAAACUGUGCUCCGCCAGGCUCUUGGUGAGAGGAUUAGGCCAGUGCUUACUGUGAACAAGAUGGACAGGUGUUUCCUUGAGCUUCAGGUUGAGGGUGAGGAAGCCUACCAGACUUUCUCCCGUGUCAUUGAGAAUGCCAAUGUCAUUAUGGCAACAUAUGAAGAUAAGCUCCUUGGUGAUGUCCAAGUCUACCCGGAGAAGGGAACUGUUGCUUUCUCUGCUGGUCUGCACGGCUGGGCCUUUACCCUCACCAACUUUGCCAAGAUGUAUGCUUCGAAGUUUGGAGUUGAUGAAACUAAGAUGAUGGAGAGGCUCUGGGGUGAGAACUUCUUUGACCCAGCCACAAAGAAGUGGACCACCAAGAACACAGGCUCUGCUACCUGCAAGAGAGGAUUUGUUCAGUUCUGCUAUGAGCCAAUCAAGCAAAUCAUCAACACCUGCAUGAAUGACCAGAAGGAUAAGUUGUGGCCCAUGCUUCAAAAGCUUAAUGUUACCAUGAAGUCUGAUGAGAAGGAAUUGGUUGGCAAGGCUUUGAUGAAGCGUGUUAUGCAAACUUGGCUUCCAGCUAGUACUGCACUGCUUGAGAUGAUGAUAUUCCACCUUCCUUCCCCAUCAAAGGCACAAAAGUAUCGUGUGGAGAACUUGUACGAGGGACCCCUUGAUGAUAUCUAUGCUACUGCUAUCAGGAACUGUGAUCCGGAGGGUCCUCUUAUGCUGUAUGUUUCUAAGAUGAUUCCAGCAUCUGACAAGGGCAGGUUCUUCGCCUUUGGUCGUGUCUUCUCUGGGAAGGUUGCUACUGGUAUGAAGGUUAGGAUCAUGGGUCCCAACUAUGUCCCUGGCCAGAAGAAGGAUCUGUACGUCAAGAGUGUCCAGCGUACUGUUAUCUGGAUGGGAAAGAAACAAGAGUCUGUUGAGGAUGUUCCUUGUGGUAACACUGUUGCUAUGGUUGGUCUGGAUCAGUUCAUCACGAAGAAUGCUACACUCACCAAUGAGAAGGAGGUUGAUGCAUGCCCAAUCAGAGCAAUGAAGUUCUCUGUCUCCCCUGUUGUGCGCGUUGCUGUUCAGUGCAAGGUUGCCUCUGACCUACCCAAGCUCGUUGAAGGUUUGAAGCGUCUGGCAAAGUCUGAUCCUAUGGUCCUCUGUACAAUUGAAGAAUCUGGUGAGCAUAUUAUUGCUGGAGCUGGUGAGCUUCACCUUGAGAUUUGCCUGAAGGAUCUGCAGGAAGACUUCAUGGGUGGUGCUGAAAUUAUUGUUUCUCCUCCUGUUGUCUCUUUCCGUGAAACUGUUCUUGAGAAAUCCUGCCGAACAGUCAUGAGCAAGUCCCCCAACAAGCACAACCGUCUUUACAUGGAAGCCCGUCCCUUGGAAGAGGGUCUCCCUGAGGCUAUUGAUGAGGGCCGCAUUGGUCCACGUGAUGAUCCCAAGGUUCGCUCCAAGAUCCUCUCUGAGGAGUUUGGUUGGGACAAGGAUCUUGCCAAGAAGAUUUGGUGCUUUGGACCUGAGACCACUGGCCCGAACAUGGUUGUUGAUAUGUGUAAGGGAGUGCAGUACCUCAAUGAAAUCAAGGAUUCUGUUGUGGCUGGCUUCCAGUGGGCCUCAAAGGAGGGUGCACUGGCUGAGGAGAACAUGCGUGGCAUCUGCUUUGAGGUCUGUGAUGUUGUUCUUCAUGCUGAUGCAAUUCACAGGGGUGGUGGCCAGGUCAUUCCAACUGCCAGGAGGGUUAUUUAUGCUUCUCAGCUCACUGCCAAGCCAAGGCUGCUCGAGCCAGUUUACCUUGUGGAGAUCCAGGCCCCAGAAAAUGCACUUGGUGGUAUCUAUGGUGUUCUGAACCAGAAGAGAGGGCACGUGUUUGAGGAGAUGCAGAGGCCUGGUACCCCGCUCUACAACAUCAAGGCUUACCUCCCUGUCAUCGAGUCCUUUGGGUUCUCCAGCCAACUGAGGGCUGCAACCUCUGGCCAGGCGUUCCCUCAGUGUGUGUUUGACCACUGGGACAUGAUGGGCUCUGAUCCUCUGGAGGCUGGCUCCCAGGCUGCUCAGCUGGUGUUGGAUAUCCGCAAGAGGAAGGGUCUCAAGGAGCAGAU
rnacentral:lncRNA from 1 species